UCUGUCUCUCUGUCUCUCUCUGUUUCUGCGUUCUCUCUUAUGCCCUUUCACCGUUUCGUAUAUAUAUGGAGAUCCGUAACUCCGAUUGGACUGAAAUCUUCGCCAUGAUUUCCCCCCAAAAAAUAGAUUUCUUGCGGCCGAAGAAGGGCAUCAAUCGCCUUACAGGGAGCCCAUGAGGGUCAGGGGCGUGCCCAGGGGGGUGGGGCGCGCCCCCCUGCCUCGUGCCUCCCUCGGGCACCGUCUCGCGUCGAUUUUUCUUCCGGAAUUCUCCAAAUAUUCCAAAAAUAUUCUCCGUCCAUUUCUAGGCUUCUGCGAAACAUAAAACAUGCAACAAACAGGAACUGGCACUGGGCACUGGAUCAAUACGUUAGUCCCAAAAAUAGUAUAAAAAGUUGCCAAAAGUAUAUGAAAGUUGAAUAAUAUUGGCAUGGAACAAUCAAAAAUUAUAGAUAUGACGGAGACGUAUCACCUAGCUCGGAUGCCAAUGUGGGGAACGCAGUAUUUCAAAAAAAUUCCUACAAUAACACAAGAUCUAUCUAGGAGAUGCAUAACAAAAAGAGAGGGGAGAGUGUGUCUACGUACCCUCAUAGACCGAAAGCGGAAGCGUUUAUCAACGCGGUUGGUGUAGUCGUACACCUUCACGAUCCGUCCCAAUCAAGUACCCAACGUAUGACACCUUUGCGUUCAGCACAUGUUCAGCUCGAUGACGUCCUCGCCUUCUUGAUCCAGCAAGAGGGACGAAGUAGUAGAUGAGUUCCGGCAACACGACGGCGUAGUGACGGUGUUGGUGAAGAACAGUCUCCGCAGGGCUUCGCCUAAGCACUACGAAAACUAUGACGAAGGAUAAAAUAGAGGGGACAAGGUUGUCGGCACACGGCUUGGUGUUUCUUGAUGUGUUCUAGGUGCUAGCCCUGCCCCUCUAUUUAUAUGUUGAGCCCUGGGGUCGGAACUUGGAGUAAAAGCCUCCUCAAAGUCGGUUUUGCCCGCAAGGGAGAGUCCUACUCGGACUUCCAGGACUAGACGCCAUAGUGCUUGGUGUCUGGCCCAGACGCCAUGGGCCACGGCGUCUGGCCCAGGGUCAGACGCUAGGGUCUCCGGCGUUUGGCCCCCUGGCCUCUGCAAAACUCCUUUUGCACCGACAUAAAGCCUCGUGGGCUUCACCCCUUGGCCGAACCAUAUCAUCCUAUAUAUCAUUCUUUACCUCUGGACCAUUCCGGAGCUCCUCGUCAUGUCCGUGAUCUCAUCCGGGACUCCGAACAACAUUAGGUCACCAACAUACAUAACUCAUGUAGUACUAUAUCAUCAACGAACGUUAAGCGUGCGGAUCCUACGGGUUCGAGAACUAUGUAGACAUGACCGAGACAUCUCUCUGGUCAAUAACCAAUAGCGGAUCCUGGAUGCUCAUAUUGGCUCCUACAUAUUCUACGAAGAUCUUUAUCAGUCGAACCGCAUAACAACAUACGUUGUUCCCUUUGUAAUCGGUAUGUUACUUGCCGGAGAUUCGAUCAUCGGUGUCAUCAUACCUAGUUCAAUCUCGUUACCGGCAAGUCUUUUUAAUCGUUCCGUAAUGCAACAUCCCGCAACUAACUUUUUAGUCACAUUGCUUGCAAGGCUUAUAGUGAUGUGCAUUACCGACAGGGCCCAGAGAUACCUCUCCGACUAUCGGAGUGACAAAUCUUAAUCUCGAUCUUUGCCAACUCAACAAACACCAUCGGAGACACAUGUAGAGCAUCUUUAUAAUCACUUAGUUAUGUUGUGACGUUUGAUACCACACUAAGUGUUUCUCUGGUAUUCGGGAGUUACAUAAUCUCAUAGUCAUAGGUACAUGUAUAAGUCAUGAAGAAAGCAAUAGCAACAAACUAAAUGAUCAUAGUGUUAAGCUAACGGAUGGGUCUUGUUCAUCACAUCAUUCUCUAAUGAUGUGAUCCCAUUAAUCAAAUGACAACACAUGUCCAUGGCUAGGAAACUUAACCAUCUUUGAUUAACGAGCUAGUCAAGUAGAUGCAUACUAGGGACACUCUGUUUGUGUAUGUAUUCACACAUGUACUAAGUUUCCGGUUAAUACAAUUCUAGCAUGAAUAAUAAACAUUUAUCAUGAUAUAAGGAAAUAUAAAUAACAACUUUAUUAUUGCCUCUAGGGCAUAUUUCCUUUAGAGGGGCGGCGCGGCAGCGGUGGAGGUGGGCGCCCCCGUCCAGCCGGGCCCCUGUGGCUGGACGGCGGCGCUCGGCGCGGGAGGGCCUCCCUGGUGACCUCUAUGGCUGCGGCUCGGCGGUUCCAUGCUCCCUCCUCCUCGGCAGCGGGCGGUGGCCGGCGAUCUCUUGCGGAUCUGGGCGUUCGGCAUCAGGGGCGAGACAGAGGUCUCGGGGGGCCGGUAGGGGGGACGGGUGCACCGCUGCGUACCCCGUCGCCGGCGCAGAGGUGCCGGUCGUGGCCAUAGGUCGUUCCUCCUCCUCCCCCUUCCCCCGGCCGACUGGGCACGGUUCCUCUUGAGGAAGUGGUCGCCGGCGGUUCUGAGGUGGUUGGGCUCAUGGAUCUUGUCCAAGACGUGACCUUUGGGGCUUCUCGGGGUGGUCCGGUGGCGGGGCGGCGGCCCUGGCGGUGGGAGUUGCGUUGGUCGUAGGCGGACUGCGCGACUCGGAUGCGGGCGAGCAACCAUGGCCGCUUGGGUGGCAUGGUUGCAGGUGGUUGGCGGACCCGGGAUGCAGCGAAAGGGUGGAGCACCGGGGUUCAUCACUUACCUGUUCGUACACGGGUCGAUGGUGGCGGCGUCCGCGGAUGUCGUGUUUCUCCUUGCAGGCUCCGUCGUGGUGCUCUCACUCCUCCCGUCUUGUUCCGGGUGAAAACAUGAUCUUUGGAUCGGACGAUGGCAAUGGUCCGUGGUCGUGCCCUUCUUGAAGGCAUUGUCUUGGAGCCCUCGAUCCGGCGUUGUCCGUUGCACUUCUUCCCGGACGAUCUCUCAUCUUGAUGGUGGUCUCCGUCGGCUACAAACGGUUCUUUUUGCUCAUUUUGUUGAUACUUGAUAGUCGUUGAGGUUGUGUGUCGGUGCCCGGCAUUCUUGUAUCUUGCCUUGGGUUGUGUUGCAUGUGUUCGUAUUGGUUGCUUGGAUCUAAGUGUUGGUGCUUUAUAUAUAAAGCGGGGGAAACCCUUUUUUGUAACGUACUCCCUCCGUUCCUAAUUACUUGUCAUAGAUAUGGAUGUAUCUAGAUGAAUUUUAGUUUCUAGAUACAUCCAUUUCUGCGACGAGUAAUUUGGGACGGAGGGAGUAUAUACAUGCAAGUCAGGCCAAUUUGUUUUUGUCUUUGCAUAAAGAAUCUCCACUGUGGUUAACCUGCUUACAAAAGUUUCACAUAGUUAUCUCCUCUUCAAAGUUUGAUCAAACCAUGCACAAGGACUUGAGAGCAGUGAGAACAAAAUUCUCUUCUGUGGACGCGCAUUCCGGUGAUUUCGAUCGGUAUCUGGAGAUGAACCGUGUCAGCACUCCUAAUGGUAUUGAGGAGAUUCUUGGUCAUGCUGAGCUGAUAUCAUCAAGAAGUGUAAGAACAACAGAUCAAGUGUCUAGUCUGAAUAUUGGAAGACUGACAGCAGCACGAGAACUUUGGAUAGAGCAACGUCACCAGCUGGAGAAUCUUUUCUCCCGGGAAGAAGUGGAUGAAUUGUCUAGAAUAGGAAAACUGCAGAAUAUAUUUAUCUCCAACAUGGACAAUUUAGCAUACUUCUGCCGGGGGGUGGAAGAUUCCCACUAGUUUCAGUUGUCUGGCGCACUUGCUCCUCGAUUGCUGUCCAAGACUGAACUUGCUCUUCCCUUCAUCGCUACGCCUGCCGAAGCUUCGUAGUCUAAAUAUAAUGUUCUGUGAUACAGUAGUUUGGAGAGGGUGUUGGACGAAUUGAUCGCCGCAGAAAAUGCUCUUCCAGGACUACAGUCACUGCAGCUGUGGGAGCUCCCGGAGCUCAGCGGCGUGUGUGGACGAGUCUUGCCAUCUCUCAAGGACCUGAAGGUGAGAGGCUGUGGAAAACUGAUGAGGAUUCCUAUUGGUGUGACUGAAAAGAGCACAUUCAUUACAACAGUAAUGGGAGAGACGCAUUGGUGGGAAGAUUUGGUCUGGGAUGACCAAGGCGUCAAGCGUUGGAUGCUCUUGAGAAACUGACCCCCCCUGCUUCCACAUUUUGCAUCUGAACUGAAGGAUGGGUUUUCAUUGCUGUACAUGGAUCCAGCCUAGCGUGGAUUGGCGGACGGGUUCAUCUUUAUUUCCAGUGGGAUGCACUUUCACUGUUGCUGUACCUGUCGAGUCCGUAACACUGUUGCAGCGCUACAAGGGGGGCAGCCGUGAAUGAACCUUGCACGAUUCACUUUUGGUACAUUGUAUGCUCUGCGAGUCAAUCAGCCCAACGACUCUGCGAAAUCACAGGCGCAGCCUUGAUUCAUCUGCCACCAAAUGUGAGAAGGACCCCAACACAUGGACCAGGCUAGCCCCAACACGAUGUUGCCCCGUAGCCCUGCACCGGCUAUUCAAGGAACCGUGGUGCAAUCCACCAACCUGGCACGCAGGCACGCAUGUGAAUGUGCUGCAAGCGGAAUCCAUCCAUCCAUCCGCUCGUUCAUCUCGAGGGCACGGCGGGCGUCGGCCACGUAGUACGUACGUACGUAGGCGCCCAUGAUGCGCUGCGUCCCACCCGCCGCCGAGGCCGACGCCGCACCGGUGCACAUUGCCCGCACGACGGCCGGCCGGCCUGCCCUCCUCCGCGCGCCCGUCCCUCUCCCGCCCCGGUCGCGGUAGCUCGGCGGGCACGGAAAGUGGGGCGCUUUCCCGCGAGAUUGCCAUCGGAAUAAUGGCCGCACAUGCCAUGUCUCCCGGAGUUGGUUGAGCGGACGCCGAUUUCUACGCGUCCCCGAUCGUGCCGGCGUUCCGUCUAAUCGUCGGCUCGUUCGUUCGUUCCUCCCCUUCCUUCAUUCCUUCCUUCCGAGGCAGGGUUUUUUCUCUCUAUCUUUUUGAGCUGGGGCAGGGUUUUAAUGCGGAUCUGUACUCCGGUCGACCGGCCCAGACAUGCACCGGGCCGGCGAGCUUUUGGCGUUGUCGACCUGCUGUACGUGCUACGUAGUGUGGGCAGACGCACUACGACGAUCCAGUCCCAAUGCGUGGUAGCGUGGCCCCGUAUUACCUAUAGCUAGCUCUCGUGGUCGUGGUGUGCACUGUGCUGUCAUUGUACGGGGAAGCUGGCCGUUUUCUGUUGCUCUUGCAGUGCGUCCAACAUCUAUUGUACCCGACUGCUGGUGAAUGAUUGGUGAAGGCCAACCGAUGCGCCAUUUUUGUGUCACGAGUCCGUGCGACGGGAAAAGAUGCCGUCGUCGGCUGAAAAAGGUGACCUGACAAGCUGAGUACUUGCAUAGGUAUCCAAAGUAGUAGUAGUACUUGUAGUACAUCUGGCUGUUUUAAACGGACCAAUUUGCCAGAAGAAAUUACGUCCGUCCGAACAUGGAAAGCGGCUGCUCGUCUCCGUAUUCCUGGAAAGCGGCUGGCCUGCCACUUGCUGAGUGGUGGUGUGCCUGCAAAAUUUGACACAUUGCAUUUGCAUGCGGAAUACUCGGCUGGUCUUGGAUUAUCAUCCAAUCAUGCAAAGCCUGAUAAGUGAUAGCUCGGCAUGGACGCGUAGGGCCGAACCAUACGGUCAAGGGCCGGAGAUGCAUUCAGGUCAGGUCAGAUCACUGAGGUUCAUGCAAUGCAGGCCGGGCAGAAUGAGGGCUGCCCAUCGUGGUAGGGCAAAGCAACGCAUGGUGUGCCAUAAGGUUCAUGCAUGCACUCAUUCAUUCCCUGCUGGACUGGAUAUACUACAUCGAUCUCAAUCGGGAACAUGUCCGGGCAGCAGAAAAGAAUGGUGCUGCUGCAGAUCGCCACGCACAUGACACACCGGCCGGCCUUAAACUUGCAGCAGUGUCGCCGGCACUGGUGCAAAGAACGUGGCUUUCUAUCUACUGUCAGCUACGUAGAUGGAUAGAUCAAAACAUUUGUUGCGACAUGAUUCGUAGAAUCAGACGAUGCUCUCCCUCCGUACUUCUUCUGUUGCACGUCGGCCACUUGUCAGAUGGAUAGGUGGAUUAUAUCGAACGAACGCGCACGGAAGAAGAGCCUCUCUCUAACCACCAGAUUCGUGGCACCAUCUAAUCUAAAUAUCUAAUCUAAUCAUCCCGAGCCAGCAUAGCAAAUGAUUCAGCCACGCGAUCGGGCAUUAUCCGGCGCAUGUGCUCGCCGUAUGGCGACGAGGGAGAAGAUCGGCCGCCACAACCUACACGAACGCGCACAACUAAUAAUGAACCAAAGCAGAUUCCUAAAUGAUAGUACGUACGUACGCACGUCGGUUGCGGCUCCGGAUAGUACGUACGUACGCACGUCGCGAGGGAGUAGAGUAAUAAUCAGCGAGCGGGCGGGGCCUCGCCCUCGCCGGCCUCGGCGCAAUGAUUCGUCGUCCCCGUCGAUCUCGCAACUGCUGUGAUGGAUGGAUGGGUCGGGACCAGCUUGCGGGUGCGCGCGUACAACAGCGACGAUGGCGCGGGGAGGGAACCGCGCAUUAACCAUGCAUCUCCGAAGCCCUAACCGAUGGCGGAUCAUUGGAACGAACGGGCACAAGAUUCCUCCGCCAGCUCGAAAGAGGGCGGGAGAACGUGGGCUGGGUCGGCCGCCGGGGCUGCCUUGCGCGCCAUCCCUUUCCUCUCCCCCACUCAUCAUCAAGCGGCCAGGCGCUCUUGUCGGACCGGAUGCAGGCCGCGCACCACCGGCACAAUCAUACGCCACGACGCGCGCGAGUACGAUUACGAGCACGAUCACGAUCACGAUCACGAUGCUCCCCGUCGGUUCCGCCAGCAAGUGGCUCGUGAACGCACACGCGCACGGGCGAGCGCGCGUGAUUUUUGUUUGUUUUGUCACGCUCACGUAGAAGUACAUUCUCUGCGGUGCACGUACGCUCCGUUUUUCUGAACGUGUAUGGUGUAGGGAGCAUGAUUGAGGUGAGGAAUGCCAGGGUGCAUGCACUGAAAUUAACUACUCCCUCCGUUUUAAAAUAUAGCGCGCCCACGCUUUUCGAGGUUCAACUUUGACCAUAAAUUUAACCCACGAGACCGACUGCGGCGGGAUCAAAAAUUAUAUAAUUAAAAACUUUUUUUGAAUACGAAUUCAUUGGUAUAAUUUUUUCGCCCGCCGCAGUCGAUCUUGUUGAUUAAAUUAAUGGUCAAAGUUGAAGCACGGAAACCGAGGACGCGCUAUAUUUUGGAACGGAGGGAGUACUAUGCUGGUUGAGAGCAUGUGUACUGUACAUUGGGACUCGUUUUGUUCCUACAUGGAAGAUUAGAUUCAACUUGUUGUAUCCUCAUUUUGGGCCGAUUAAUUUGUACUGGACUAGUGGGUGGAUAUUGCCAUCUUGGUAGUGUACUCCACACCCUGUACGUUAAGGUAUCUCAGACGGUUUUGCUGUCUUGGGCAGGAGGGAAGCAUGCCAAGUUGAGUGAGCAGAGUAACCAAUGUACAUAAUUUUAUUGAUAGCAAAAUCCACCCAUUUUGCAUAUUGUCCAUCGGCCAUUGCAUUCACUUCUUUUGUAAGAAGCUAUUCAUGGCGGAGCCCCAUUCCGGGGUUUCAUUGGCGGCUGACUGUUGGCCUAUGGUGGGCCGGGGUAACUGUGGAUGAGAAUGUGAAACUUACCAUCUCGUUUCUCGUCUGAGGAGGUAGGAGGUUGGUCGGUUGAUUUCCGAGAUGAAGGCGAAUUCAGCUCCCGAUCUGGAUGCCCUUCCGGUCGUCUUCUUCCGGAAGCUCUGGGGGUCAUUACCCUAAUCGUCAAAAUAGUCGGGGUGAGGGAUAUCCGACACUUUAGGCAUGCAUGUCAUGGUGAUUAAGGUUCUUCAAAGGAUUUUCUCAAAGGUGUGUGUGACGCAGUGUGCCCCAGUGGUGAAACGCCUCUCGCUCCCCUGCCAAUCUGCCUUCCUGAAGAGACCUUGUGUCCAAUGGGAUUCUGGACCUGAGGUCAAGGUACACCGUCUGAAAGCGUGUUCUUCAAGCUGGACUUUCAGAAGUCAUAUGGCCGCCUUGACUGGCCUUUCCUAUACUUAGUUCUUGAGCGAAGGGUAUACGGUGAUCAUUAGUGUUCAUGGAUCAUGCAGUUGAUCAGGAGCGAUAGCACCACAAUUAAUGUUAAUGGGGGGUGGCCCCUUCUUUAGGCCUUCUUGUGGGGUGAGGCAAGGGGGCUAUCUCUCUCUUACUCUUUAACAUCACGGUCGACGCCCUCGCAACCAUCGUAGAUAAAGCUAGGAUGGUCGACCACAUCAAUGGUGUGGUUGGGCAUAUUAUUCCUGGAGGCGAGGUUAUUCACCUUUAGUAUGCGGAUGACACCAUGAUCAUGGUAGAGGGGUCAAAACUUAAUAUCAUCACCCUUAAGUUCCUUCUCCUUUGCUUUGAGGUCAUGUUCGACUUUAAGAUCAGUUUUGAUACAAUCAAAAUUACGGUGUUAGCAUAAUUUGUAGCCCAUCAAUAGUAAAUUGCGGACAACUUUAAUUGCAAGUUUUCCUCAUUCCCCAUUGCUUCCUUGGGGAUGCCAUUGUAUGAUUUGACAAUUCAUAUCCGAGAUGUUGACCCUCUUAUGGGUCGUGUGUCCUCUAGGUCUAAGUUGUGGUGCGCUUGGUUUACGUCCAAAGGGAGUAAAUCCGUGCUUAUCGGCUCUUGCUCUCUAGUCUCCUCAUGUAUCUGAUGGAGUUGUAUGUGCCGCCGGAAGGAGUGCAUGGCUCCUUUGAUAAGGAUCUAUGUCGCUUCUUCUGGCAGGCCACAAACGUGCAUAAGAAAUAUCAUAUGAUUAAGUCUGCUGAGACCUGCUUGCCUAAGGAGCAGGGGGUCUAGGUAUUAUCCCGCCAUGCCGAAUGGAUGUGGUCCUGAUGCUACGUUGGGCUUGGAGGUUCCUCGGUGAUGAUGAGGGCUUGUGGCUGCAACUUAUCAAAGUGAAGUACUUGCAGGGCCGCCCCCUUCUUUGGUGUGAUCGCAAGGAGGGAUCCCAAUUGUAAAAAUUGAUACAAUAUAUCAAGAAUGAGAUUUGUCUAGGUCUCACUAUCUGCAUAGGGGGGGCUAGCUAGACCCUUGGUUGGGCAAAGCUCUACUAUCUUAUGAGUUUCCAGCCUUAUUUGCUAUUUGCUCGGAUCCGCUAUUGUUGGUUUCCUCGACCAUCCAUAAUGGGAUUUGGAACGUCUCAUUCCGACAAACAUUUGGACCCAGGGAAAACAUCGGUUCGGCCAGCCUUCGGGUGGCCCUUCCAUUGUCGCUUCCAGACUAUCCAGACGCCAUAUUUUGACGGUUGACCCCUUCGGGUCCUCGACGACAUUCUACAUAGCCUUCCUGCCAUGCAGACGUUCUUUCGCUGAAGAACCUCGGCCUUCCCCUCCCAUCUCUAUCUAGCUGCUAAAAAGGGUUGACUACCUACACCUCAAGGAUAAGGUCGUGAGCGAAGCUGCCUCCCUGGAAGGGGAGGAACAUAACCACUGAGGGAGUCCUGGAUUAGGGGGUAUCCGGACAUCCGGAUUAUAUCCUUUGGCCGGACUGUUGGACUAUGAAGAUACAAGAUUGAAGACUUCGUCCCGUGUCCGGAUGGGACUCUACUUGGCGUGGAAGGCAAGCUAGGCAAUACGGAUAUGUAUAUAUCCUCCUUUGUAACCGACCUUGUGUAACCCUAGCCCCCUCCGGUGUCUAUAUAAACCGGAGGGUUUUAGUCCAUAGGACAACAUAUAGAACAACAAUCAUACCAUAGGCUAGCUUCUAGGGUUUAGCCUCUCCGAUCUCGUGGUAGAUCAACUAUUGUACUACUCAUAUUAUCAAGAAUAAAUCAAGCAGGAUGUGGGGUUUUACCUCCAUCAAGAGGGCCUGAACCUGGGUAAAACAUCGUGUCCCCUGCCUCCUAUUACCAUCCGCCUUAGACGCAUAGUUCGGGACCCCCUACCCAAGAUCCGCCGGUUUUGACACCGACAUUGGUGCUUUCAUUGAGAGUUUCACUGUGCCGUCGCCGUAAGGAAGGAUGCCUCGUCUCGUUAUUAAAAACAACAUUGCCGCCGGGGGGAGCCCUCGCUGUCGGCCAUGUUGGGGAUCGUAGCAGAAAUUUAAAAUUUUCUACGCAUCACCAAGAUCAAUCUAUGGAGUAAUCUAGCAACAAGGGGAAGGGGAGUGCAUCUACAUACCCUUGUAGAUCGCUAAGCGGAAGCGUUCAAGAGAACGGGGUUGAUGAAGUCGUACUCGUCGUGAUCCAAAUCACCGAUGAUCCUAGCGCCGAACGGACAGCACCUCCGCGUUCAACACACGUACGGAGCGGAGACGUCUCCUCCUUCUUGAUCCAGCAAGGGGGAGGAGAAGUUUAUGGAGAUCCAGCAGCACGACGGCGUGGUGGUGGAAGUAGCGGGAUCCCGGCAGGGCUUCGCCAAGCGCAAGCGGGGAGGAAGAGGUGUCACGGGAGGGAGGGAGGCGCCAGGGCUUAGGGUGCUACUGCCCUCCCUCUCCUCCACUAUAUAUAGGGGCCCUGGGGGGCGCCGGCCCCCUAGAGAUCCCAUCUAAUGGGAGAUGCGGCGGCCUAGGGGUUGGCUUGGCCCCCAAGCCAGGUGGAGGCGCCCCCACCCCUUUAGGGUUUCCAACCCUAGGCGCAAGGGAGGCCCAAGGGGGGCGCACCAGCCCACCAGGGGCUGGUUCCCACGUCACUUCAGCCCAUGGGGCCCUCCGGGACAGGUGGCCCCACCCGGUGGACCCCCAGGACCCUUCCGGUGGUCCCGGUACAAUACCUGUGACCCCAAAACUCUCCCGGUGGCCAAAACUGGACUUCCUAUAUAUAUAUAUAUAUAUAUAUAUAUAUAUAUAUAUAUAUAUAUUUAUAUACCAUUCCGGAACUCCUCGUGACGUCCGGGACUCCGAACAACUUUCGGUUAACCACAUACUAAUAUCUCUACAACUCUAGCAUCACCGAACCUUAAGUGUGUAGACCCUACGGGUUCGGGAGACACAUAGACAUGACAGAGACAACUCUCCGGCCAAUAACCAACAGCGGGAUCUGGAUACCCAUGUUGGCUCCCACAUGCUCCACGAUGAUCUCAUCGGAUGAACCACGAUGUCGAGGAUUCAAUCAAUCCCGUAUACAAUUCCCUUUGUCUACUGGUAUAGUACUUGCCCGAUAUUCGAUCGUCGGUAUCCCGAUACCUUGUUCAAUCUCGUUACCGGCAAGUCUCUUUACUCGUUCCGUAACACAUCAUCCCAUGAUCAACUCCUUGGUCACAUUAUGCAUAUUAUGAUGAUGUCCUACCGAGUGGGCCCAGAGAUACCUCUCCGUUUACACGGAGUGACAAAUCCCAGUCUCGAUUCGUGCCAACCCAACAGACACUUUCGGAGAUACCCGUAGUGCACCUUUAUAGCCACCCAGUUAUGUUGUGACGUUUGGUGCACCCAAAGCAUCCCUACGGUAUCCGGGAGUUGCAUAAUCUCAUGGUCUAAGGAAAUGAUACUUGACAUUAGAAAAGCUUUAGCAGACGAACUAUACGAUCUUGUGCUAGGCUUAGGAUUGGGUCUUGUCCAUCACAUCAUUCUCCUAAUGAUGUGAUCCCGUUAUCAAUGACAUCCAAUGUCCAUGGUCAGGAAACCAUGACCAUCUAUAGAUCAACGAGCUAGUAAACUAGAGGCUUACUAGGGAAAUGUUGUGGUCUAUGUAUUCACACAUGUAUUACAGUUCCGGUUAAUACAAUUAUAGCAUGAACAAUAGACAAUUAUCAUGAACAAGGAAAUACAAUGAUAACCAUUUUAUUAUUGCCUCUAGGGCAUAUUUCCAACAGUCUCCCACUUGCACUAGAGUCAAUAAUCUAGUUCACAUCACUAUGUGAUUGCAAUGAAUCCAACACCCAUGGGGUUUGUUCAUAUCUUGCUUGUGAGAGAAGUUUAUUAGUCAAUGAGUCUGAACCUUUCAGAUCCAUGUGUGCUUUACAAAUCUCUAUGUCGUCUUGUAGAUGCAGCUACCACGCGCUACUUGGAGCUAUUCCAAAUAACUAUUCUACUAUACGAAUCCGGUUUACUACUCAGAGUCAUCCGGAUUGGUGUCAAAGUUUGCAUCGAUGUAACCCUUUACGACGAACUCUUUUACCACCUCCAUAAUCGAGAAAAUUCCUUAAUCCACUAGUUACUAAGGAUAAGUUCGACCGCUGUCGUGUGAUCCAUUCCUGGAUCACUCUUGUACCCCUUGACUGACUCAUGACAAGGCACACUUCAGGAGCGGUACACAACAUAGCAUACUGUAGAGCCUACGUCUAAAGCAUAGGGGACGAUCUUCGUCCUUUCUCUUUCUUCUGUUGUGGUCAGGUCUUGAGUCUUACUCAAUAUUCACACCUUGUGACACAGCUAAGAACUCCUUCUUUGCUGAUCUAUUCUGAACUCCUUCAAAAUCUUGUCACGGUAUGUAUUCAUUCGAAAGUACUAUUAAGCGUUUUUGAUCUAUCCUUAUAGAUCUUGAUGCUUAAUGUUCAAGUAGCUUAAUCCAGAUUUUCCAUUGAAAAACACUUUUCAAAUAACCCUAUAUGCUUUCCAGAAAUUCUACAUCAUUUCUGAUCAACAAUAUGUUAACAACAUAUACUCAUCAAAAAUUCUAUAGUGCUCCCACUCACUUCUUUGGAAAUACAAGUUUCUCAUAAACUUUGUAUAAACCCAAAAUCUUUGAUCAUCUCAUCAAAGCGUACAUUCCAACUCCGAGAUGCUUACUCCAGUCCUUAGAAGGAUUGCUGGAGCUUUGCAUACUUGUCAGCAUCUUUCAGGAUUGUCAAAACCUUCUGGUUGUAUCACAUACAACCUUUCCUCAAGAAAAAUGUCGAGGAAACAAUGUUUUUUACAUCCUAUCUACAAGAUUUCAUAAAUAAUGCAAUAACUGCUAACAUAAUUCCAACAGACUCUUAGCAUCGCUACGAGUGAGAAAGUCUCAUCGUAGUCAACUCCUUGAACUUGUCGGGAAACAUCUUAACGACAAGUCGAGCUUUCUUAAUGGUGACACUUACCAUCAUUGUCUGUCUUCCUUUUAAAACCCAUCUGCACCCAACAGCCUUACGACCAUCAAGUGGUUCUUUCAAAGUCUAUACUUUCUUUUAUACAUGGAUCCUCUCUCGGAUUUUAUGGCCUCGAGCCAUUCUUUGUAAUCUGGGCCCACCAUCACUUCUCCAUAGCUCGUAGGUUGAUUGUUGUCUAGCAACAUGACUUCCAAGACAGGAUUACGUACCACUGUGAAGUAGUAUGCAUCCUUGUUGACCUAUGAGGUUUGGUAGUGACUUGAUCCGAAGUUUCAUGAUCACUAUCAUAAGCUUCCACUUCAAUCGGUGUAGGUGCCACAGGAACAACUUCAUGUGCCCUGCUACACACUAGUUGAAGUGACGGUUCAAUAACCUCAUCAAGUCUCCACCAUCCUCCCACUCAAUUCUUUCGAGAGAAACUUUUCCUCGAGAAAGGACCCGUUUCUAGAAACAAUCACUUUUGCUUACGGAUCUGAAAUAGGAGGUAUACCCAACUAUUUUUUUGGAUAUCUAUGAAGAUGCAUUUAUCCGCUUUGGGUUCGAGCUUAUCAGCCUGAAACUUUUUCACAUAAGCAUCACAGCCCCAAACUUUUAAGAAACGACAGCUUAGGUUUGUCUAAACCAUAGUUCAUACGGCGUGGUCUCAACGGAAUUGUGUGGUGCCCUAUUUAAAGUGAGUGCAGUUGUCUCUAAUGCCUAACCCAUAAACAAUAGUGGUAAUUCGAUAAGAGACAUCAUGGUAUGCACCAUAUCCAAUAGGGUGUAGUUGUGAUGUUCGGACACACCAUCACACUAUGGUGGUCCAGGCGGUAUUAGUUAUGAAACAAUUUCCACAAUGUCUUAAUUGUGUGCCAAACUCGUAACUCAGAUAUUCAUCUCUAUGAUCAUAUCAUAGACAUUUUAUCAUCUUGUCACGACGAUCUUUUGAAAUUACUUAAACCUUUCAAUAAUUCAGACUUGUGUUUCAUCAAGUAAAUAUACUCAGCAUCUAGUCAAAUCAUCUGUGAAGUAAGAACAUAACGAUAUCCACUGCGUGCCUCAGCACUCAUUGGACUGCACACAUCAAAAUGUAUUACUUCCAACAAGUUGCUUUCUUGUUCCAUCUUACUGAAACGAGGCCUUUCAGUCAUCUUACCCAUGUGGUAUGAUUUGCAUGUCUCAAGUGAUUCAAAAUCAAGUGAGUCCAAACGAUCCAUCUGCAUGGAGUUUCUUCAUGCAUAUCUACCAAUAGACAUGGUUUGCAUGUCUCAAUCUUUUCAAAAACGAGUGAGUCCAAAGAUCCAUCAACAUGGAGCUUCUUCAUGCGUUUUAUACCAACAUGACUCAAAUGGCAGUGCCACAAGUACGUGGUACUAUCAUUACUAUCUUAUAUCUUUUGGCAUGAACAUGUGUAUCACUACGAUCGAGAUUCAAUAAACCAUUUAUUUUAGGAGCAAGACCAUUGAAGGUAUUAUUCAAAUAAACAGAGUAACCAUUAUUCUCCUUAAAUGAAUAACCGUGUGGCGAUAAACAUAAUCCAAUCAUGUCUAUGCUCAACGCAAACACCAAAUAACAAUUAUUUCGGUUUAACACCAAUCCCGAUGGUAGAGGGAGCGUGCGAUGUUUGAUCACAUCAACCUUGGAAACACUUCCAACACAUAUCGUCAUCUCACCUUUAGCUAGUCUCCGCAGCCUUUUAUUUCGAGUUACUAACUCUUGGCAACCGAACCGGUAUUUAUUACCCUGGUGCUACUAGGAGUACUAGUAAAGUACACAAUAAUAUGACGUAUAUCCAAAAUACUUCUGUCGACCUUGCCAGCCUUCUCAUCUACCAAGUAUCUAGGGUAGUUCUGCUUCAGUGACCGUUCCCCUCAUUACAGAAGCACUUAGUCUCGGGUUUGGGUUCAACCUUGGGUUUCUUCACUAGAGCAGCAACUAAUUUGCCGUUUCAUGAAGUAUCCCUUCUUUCCCUUGCCCUUCUUGAAACUAGUGGUUUUAUUAACCAUCAACAAUUGAUGCUCCUACUUGAUUUCUACUUUCACGGUGUCAAACAUCACGAAUUGCUCAAGGAUCAUCAUGUCUAUCCCUGAUAUGUUAUAGUUCAUCACUAAGCUCUAAUAGCUUGGUGGCAGUGACUAUGGAGAACUAUCACUAUCUCAUCUGGAAGAUUAACUCCCACUCGAUUCAAGCGAUUGUAGUACUCAGACAAUCUAAGCACAUGCUCAACGAUUGAGCUUUUCUCCCUUAGUUUGCAGGCUUAAGAAACUUGUCAGAGGUAUCAUACCUCUUGAUGUGGGCACUAGUCUGAAAUCCCAAUUUCAGUCUUUCGAACAUCUCAUAUGUUUUGCGAUGUUUCAAAAACGUCUUUGGUGCCACAAUUCUAAACCGUUAGCAUUACAUACUGAACUAUCACGUAGUCAUCAAAAUGUGUAUGUCAGAUGUUUCCCAACAUCUACAGACGAUGCUCGAGGUUCAACACACUGAGCGGUGCAUUAAGGACAUAACCCUUCUGUGCAGCAAUGAGGACAAUCCUCAGUUCACGGACCCAGUCCGCAUAAUUGCUACUGUCAACUCUCAACUAAAUUUUCUCUAGGAACAUAUCUAAAACAGUAGAACCAAAGCGUGAGCUACGACAUAAUUUGCAAAGACCUUUGAACUAUGUUCAUGAUAAUUAAGUUCAUCUAAUCAAAUUAUUCAAUGAACUCCCACUUAGAUAGACAUCCCUCUAGUCAUCUAAGUGAUACAUGAUCCGAGUCAACUAGGCCGUGUCCGAUCAUCACGUGAGACGGACUAGUCAUCAUCAGUGAACAUCUUCAUGUUGAUCGUAUCCACUAUACGACUCAUGUUCGACCUUUCGGUCUUUCGUGUUCCGAGGCCAUGUCUGUACAUGCUAGGCUCGUCAAGUUAACCUAAGUGUAUUGCGUGUGUAAAUCUGGCUUACACCCGUUGUAUGCGAACAUUAGAACCUAUCACACCUGAUCAUCACAUGGUGCUUCGGAACAACGGACCUUAGCAACGGUGCACAGUUAGGGGGAACACAAUUCUUGAUAUUUUAAUGAGGGGUCAUCUUAUUUAUGCUACCGUCGUUCUAAGCAAAUAAGAUGUAAAAACAUGACAAACAUCACAUGCGAAUCAUAAAGUGACAUGAUAUGGCCAAUAUCAUCUUGCGCCUUUGAUCUCCAUCUUCGAGGCGCGGCAUGAACACCAUCGUCACCGGCAUGACACCAUGAUCUCCAUCAUCGCGUCUUCAUGAAGUUGCCUCGCCAACUAUUACUUCUACUACUAUGGCUAACGGUUAGCAAUAAAGUAAAGUAAUUACAUGGCGUUUUCAUUGACACGCGGGUCAUAAAUAAAUUAAGACAACUCCUAUGGCUCCUGCCGGUUGUCAUACUCAUCGACAUGCAAGUCGUGAUUCCUAUUACAAGAACAUGAUCAAUCUCAUACAUCACAUAUAUCAUUCAUCACAUCCUUUUGGCCAUAUCACAUCACAUAGCAUACCCUGCAAAAACAAGUUAGACGUCCUCUAAUUGUUGUUGCAUGUUUUACCUGGCUGCUAUGGGUUUCUAGCAAGAACGUUUCUUACCUACGCAAAACCACAACGGUGAUAUGCCAAUUGCUAUUUACCCUUCAUAAGGACCCUUUUCAUCGAAUCCGAUACGACUAAAGUGGGACAGACAGACACCCGCCAGCCACCUUAUGCAUCAAGUGCAUGUCAGUCGAUGGAACCAGUCUCACAUAAGCCUACGUGUAAGGUCGGUCCGGGCCGCUUCAUCCCACAAUGCCGCCGAAUCAAGAUAAGACUAGUAACAGCAAGCAAAUUGAACAAAUCAUCACCCACAACUACUUUGUGUUCUACUCGUGCAUAGAAUCUACGCAUAGACCUAGCUCAUGAUGCCACUGUUGGGGAUCGUAGCAGAAAUUUAAAAUUUUCUACGCAUCACCAAGAUCAAUCUAUGGAGUAAUCUAGCAACGAGGGGAAGGGGAGUGCAUAUACAUACCCUUGUAGAUCGCUAAGCGGAAGCGUUCAAGAAAACAGGGUUGAUGGAGUCAUACUCGUCGCGAUCCAACUCACCGAUGAUCCUAGCGCCGAACGGGCAGCACCUCCGCGUUCAACACACGUACGGAGUAGAGACGUCUCCUCCUUCUUGAUCUAGCAAGGGGGGAGAAGUUGAUGGAGAUCCAGCAGCACGACGGCGUGGUGGUGGAAGUAGCGGGAUCCCGGCAGGGCUUCGCCAAGCGCGAGCGGGGAGGAAGAGGUGUCACGGGAGGGAGGGAGGCGCCAGGGCUUAGGGUGUUGCUGCCCUCCCUCUCCUCCACUAUAUAUAGGGGCCCUGGGGGCGCCGGCCCCUAGAGAUCCCAUCUAAUGGGACGGGCGACGGCCUAGGGGUUGGCUUGGCCCCCAAGCCAGGUGGAGGCGCCCCCACCCCUUUAGGGUUUCCAUCCCUAGGCGCAAGGGAGGCCCAAGGGGGGCGCACCAGCACACCAGGGGCUGGUUCCCACGUCACUUCAGCCUGUGGGGCCCUCCGGGACAGGUGGCCCCACCCGGUGGACCCCCGGGACCCUUCCGGUGGUCCCGGUACAAUACCGGUGACCCCGAAACUCUCCCGGUGGCCGAAACUGGACUUCCUAUAUUUUUUUUACCUCCGGACCAUUCUGGAACUCCUCGUGACGUCCGGGAUCUCAUCCGGGACUCCAACCAACUUUCGGUUAACCGAAUACUAAUAUCUCUACAACUCUAGCGUCACCGAACCUUAAGUGUGUAGACCCUACGGGUUCGGGAGACACGUAGACAUGACAGAGACAACUCUUCAGCUAAUAACCAACGGCGGGAUCUGGAUACCCAUGUUGGCUCCCACAUGCUCCACGAUGAUCUCAUCGGAUGAACCACGAUGUCGAGGAUUCAAUCAAUCCCGUAUACAAUUCCCUUUGUCUACCGGUAUAGUACUUGCCCGAGAUUCGAUCGUCGGUAUCCCGAUACCUUGUUCAAUCUCGUUAUCGGCAAGUCUCUUUACUCGUUUCGUAACACAUUGAGGGAGUCCUGGAUUAGGGGGUGUUCGGGUAGCCGGACUAUACCUUCGGCCGGACUCCUGGACUAUGAAGAUACAAGAUUGAAGACUUCGUCCCAUGUCCGGAUGGGACUUUCCUUGGCAUGGAAGGCAAGCUUGCAAUGCGGAUAUUCAAGAUCUCCCACCAUUGUAACCGACUCUGUGUAACCCUAACCCUAUCCGGUGUCUAUAUAAACCGGAGGGUUGUAGUCCGUAGGCAAUCAACUCCAUACACAACAAUCAUACCAUAGGCUAGCUUCUAGGGUUUAGCCUCCUUGAUCUUGUGGUAGAUCUACUCUUGUACCACCUAUAUCAUCAAUAUAAUCAAGCAAGAGUAGGGUAUUACCUCCAUCGAGAGGGCCCGAACCUGGGUAAAACAAAGUGUUCCCUGCCUCCUGUUACCAUCCGGCCUAGACGCACAGUUCGGGACCCCCUACCCGAGAUCCGCCGGUUUUGACACCGACAUUGGUGCUUUCAUUGAGAGUUCCUCUGUGCCAUCACAAUCAGGAAGGAUGCCUCCUCCCGUCUUUAAAGACGGCGCCGUUGCUAAGGGAGCCUUGGCUGUCGGCCAAACCCUCCGGCUAGGUGGUUUUCUCAUGACCGCCUGUUCGGCUGUUGCGCCGACGAUGACCUCUCGGGUCAUCGAAAGCAACCUACACGUCAGCUCGGAGCUUGUCGAGCAGCUAGAUCCAAUGGAGCUCUCUUCCUUAAACGAGCUCUUGGAUCGCAUCGCCGCCCUGGGGGUCGCUACGGAUUACGACCAGGUUGGGCUUAAACCCGAUCUAAGAGAAAUUAACUCUCCCCAAGUCACCCACCACAUUGCGGUGGUAGAGACGUUGUGCGGCGACCCUUCAUCUAUUUUAAGGACUAGCUACGUCCGAAUUCCCGACUCCUCCAAGUUGGAUACCCGCGGAGGGGAGGAUGUAACUCAAGACCUGAGCUUAAGAUCAGGCAACGGGCUAGAUUCGUUGGACAACAUCCAAGAAUCUGAACUUCAGAGUUUGGAAACUCUUCGGCCCCCGAAUCUUGGAUUGGGUGAGGUUUCAGAUUCAACGACACCCGCCCACCCGAACAUAAGCGAUCUCUCCCAAAUCAGGCAGAGGCCCGAGGAAACAGUACACCAUUACUGGGCCAGAUUCCUCCUGGUUAUGAACAGGAUAAAGGAUUGCCGCGAGGAAGACGCAAUCUCAAUUUUUUGCAGUAAUUGCACGGACGAGGGAAUCCCUAACGCCGUAAGUCGCCGUGAUAUUACACGCUUCGCUGACUUGGCGUCCAUAGUACAAAAAUAUUGUGCGAUGGAAAGCGCCUGGAAAACCGAAAUAAAAUUUUGGGAUAAUCCGGCCUUGAAUAGUAAUCCCGUCCGAACUAAGAGGGUGCAUCAUCAUAGGACACCCGGGAUAAACACCAAAAAGCCAAAACCCUCUACAGGGCAUGGAACUGUACUGGAAAGGUGGCUUGAUGGACCCUGUAGAAUUCACAGUACAGAGGACGCCACACCAACUCACAGCCUUAGAGCAUGUUGGAUACUCCGGUAGGUGGCCAAAAUUGGCGAGGAUCUCUUUAUCCUAGAGGCCGCAGAAAACCAGCCCGAGAACACCAGUACCGUUCUCACGGUCUUCGAGACUUUCGCAUCAAACAAUAGGCGAAAAAGAACACUCCACAGCCUCGCCGAAGUCUAUCAAGUUGCAACAAUAAAUCCAUGGAGCGACACUGCCAUUACCUUCAACGCAAGUGAUGAACCUAGAUUCCGAACAGCCCGAGCACCAGCCGCAUUGGUCCUCAGUCCCAUAGUGGACGGCUUUCGCCUCACCAAGGUGCUCAUGGAUGGAGGCAGCCGAUUGAACCUCAUUUAUGAGGAAACCCUUCAAAAAAUGGAAAUAGACUGGAACCGCGUCGAGCGAAGCAGCACAACCUUAGAGGAAUAAUCCCCAGUCGGGAAGCGCGCUGCACAGGAAAAAUCACACUAGAUGUGGUGUUCGGCACGCCGGAUAAUUACAGGUCCGAAGAAGUCACGUUUCAGGUGGCCCCGUUUAAAAGCGGACCUCACGCUUUACUAGGGCGGGAAGCAUUCACAAUCUUCCAAGCAAUACCCCAUUACGGGUACAUGAAGCUUAAGAUGCCCGGGCCAAAUGGAAUUAUCACUCUAGCUAGUGAUCCGGACAUAGCACUCCGCGCCGAAAAUAAGACGGCCGCAUUAGCCCUUGAGGCACUAUCCGAAGCCUUAGCGACCGAGGAACUAACGGCGCUAUGCUCCACGGUUAACAGGGAUGAUGCGAUACUCGAUAAGAGAUCCAAAUCCACAUCCUUCAAGCCAGCUGACGAAAUAGUCAAAUUCCAGGUCCAUCCAACGGACCCCAAUAAAACAGCUUCCAUCGGGGCACGACUGAACCCUGAUGUAGACGCCGCACUGCGAGAGUUCCUACGAGAGAACUGGGACAUUUUCGCCUGGCACCCUUCAGACAUGCCAGGGAUCCCACGCAAGCUGGCCGAACACAGCUUAAAUAUCCUAAAGGGAUUCAAACCUGUCAAACAAGCCCUUCGGCAUUUUUCUGAACCCAAGAGACAGGCUAUGGGAGAGGAGCUAGCCAAGCUAUUGGAGGCCGGAUUCAUUAGAGACAUAAAACAUCCGGACUGGCUAGCAAACUUGGUGAUGGUACCAAAGAAGGACAAAUCCUGGCGCCUGUGUGUCGAUUUUAAAGACCUUAACAAGGCUUGCCCAAAGGAUCCCUUCCCCCUCCCCCGUAUCGAUCAAAUUAUCGAUGCCACCGCAGGACACGACUCGUUGUGUUUCCUCGACGCAUACUCCGGUUACCAUCAAAUCAAGAUGGCAGAAUCAGACCAAGCUGCAACAGCAUUCAUCACACCAUACGGCCCAUUCUGCUUCAACACAAUGCCCUUCGGGCUGAAAAACGCCAGCGCAACAUAUCAGCGCAUGAUCCAGACAUGUAUGGCAAAUCAGAUCGGCAAAAACAGUGGAGGCGUACGUGGAUGAUGUGGUCGUCAAAUCAAGACAUGUCGAAUCUCUAAUAGACGACUUGAGGCUUACUUUCGAUAACCUCCGAAAAUACGACAUCAAGCUCAACCCAGAAAAAUGCGUCUUCGGCGUUCCAGCCGGAAAGCUCUUGGGCUUCAUUGUAUCUGAUAGAGGAAUUGAAGCUAAUACAGCCAAGAUCCGAGCUUUGUCACAAUUGGAUAUCCCAAAGGACCUCAAACAAAUAUAAAAAUUAACUGGAUGUGUGGCGGCUUUAAGCCGCUUCAUCUCCCGCUUGGGAGAAAAGGCACUACCCCUCUAUCGCCUCCUUCGGCACACCGAACACUUCAAUUGGACGGAGGCCGCCAUGGCCGGACUUGAUGAAAUAAAAGCCAUAUUGGCAACAAACCCAGUCCUGGCCGCGCCGAACACUGGCGAACCAAUGUUAUUGUACAUUGCAGCAACACAUCAAGUUGUCAGUGCAGUGCUCGUUGUCGAGCGGGAAACGGAUGGGGCACAAAUUCCCCCUUCAAAGGCCGGUCUACUACGUAUCCACUGUCCUCACUCCAUGCAAAUCACGGUACCCGCAUUAUCCAAAAAUUGCAUACGCGGUAUUCAUGGCAUCCCGGAAGCUACGACACUACUUUCAAAAGUGUUCCAUAACAGUAGCCUCGGAAGUACCACUCAAUGAUAUUAUCAACAACCGCGACGCAACGGGCCGGAUUGCAAAAUGGGCCAUCGAGCUUCUUCCAUUCGAUAUAACCUAUAAGCCACGACGAGCUAUUAAAUCGCAAGUUUUGGCCGACUUCGUCGCAGAAUGGACGGAGGCCGAGCUCCCUAAAGAGUACGGCACAUAUUCAAACUGGAUUAUGCAUUUCGACGGCUCCAAAAUGUUGGUCGGACUGGGGGCUGGCGUCGUCCUGACGUCCCCCACAGGGGACACAAUCCAAUAUGUGCUCCAGAUCAUGUACAUGGGUUCCAACAAUGCAGUCGAAUAUGAGGCCCUCCUACAUGGUCUCCGGAUAGCAGUAUCCAUGGGUAUCCAGCGCCUAGAGGUACGCGGGGAUUCAAACCUCGCGGUAUCCCAAAUAAAUGGAGACUUCGACGCCAAGGACCCAAAAAUGGAAGCUUACCGCAACGCCGUCCUAAAAAUGUCAGCUCGGUUCGAAGGGCUGGAGUUUCACCAUAUAGCCCGAGAAAACAAUCAAGCAGCGGACGUCCUGGCACGCAUCGGAGCAAAACACGAUGCAGUCCCCCCCAACAUCUUUUUGGAAAGAUUGUUCAAGCCAUCCAUAACAUGGGAGGGGGAACCUGUAAAUAACAGCCCGGACCCAGCCGCACCAUUCGACGUCGAACAAUCUGACACAAUUGGAGGCUCUGCCAAUGAAAUUACACCUUCGGCCCACGUAAUAAUGGCGGUCAUCGCCCCGUGGACAGAACCAUUCCUAGCCUACCUUACUAGGCAGGAACUCCCGGAGGACCAAAACGAGGCCCGCUGCAUAGUGCGGCGAUCUAAAGCCUAUAGAGUCCAUGAGGGAGAGCUUUAUAAGAAAAGCACUACCGGAGUCCUUCAAAGGUGCAUCUCCGAAGAGGAAGGGCGGAACCUUCUGGCUGAAAUUCAUGCCGGACUCGAUGGUCGCCACACCGCUGCUCGGUCCCUUGUUAGCAAGGCUUUCCGUACAGGCUUUUAUUGGCCGACGGCCCGGGCAGACGCUCAGGACUUAGUCCAACGAUGCGCUGGUUGCCAACUUUUUGCCAACCAAAGCCAUAUGCCACCCACCGCACUCCAAACUAUACCCAUCACCUGGACUUUUGUGGUCUGGGGGCUUGACAUGGUCGGACCCCUUAAAGGUGGGACCGAUAGGAAAAAAUACUUACUGGUCAUGGUGGACAAAUUCACCAAAUGGAUAGAAGCCAAGCCUGUUAAAACGGCCGAAUCCGGACCUGUGAUAGACUUCAUAUCCGGGGUGGUACACCGCUAUGGCGUCCCCCACAGCAUCAUAACUGAUAACGGUACAAAUUUUACCGCCGAUGAGGUAAAACUCUGGUGCAAAAACAUGGGCAUCAAGCUCGAUUAUGCUUCCAUCUAUCACCCACAAACGAACGGCCAGGUCGAACGUGCAAAUGGUCUUAUAAUGAGCGGCAUUAAACCCAGACUGGUGCGGUCCCUCAAGGAAUCUAACACGCACUGGGUAGAGGAGCUCGACUCCGUGCUAUGGGGGCUGCGGACCACGCCAAAUUGCACCACCGGAUACACACCAUUUUUUAUGGUGUACGGCGCAGAGGCAAUUCUGCCCUGCGACAUAAUUCAUGACUCACCUAGAGUGCGCAUGUACGAAGAAGGAGAAGCCGAGCUCGAUCGGCAGGACAACUUGGACGCCCUGGAGGAGGAGCGUAACAUGGCAAAAGCCCGUUCCGCAUUUUAUCAACAACAGGCCCGAAGAUAUCAAAGCAGAGAAGUACGGGCCAAAAACUACAAUGUUGGCGAACUAGUUCUACGCCUGCCGGAUAAGAAAAAGGACAAACUCAAGCCCAAGUGGGAAGGUCCAUUCAUAAUCGACCAAGUCCUGACUGGCGGGGCGUACCGCCUGCGAGAUGUGUUGGAUAACCGACUCGAGCCGAACCCGUGGAACGCCACCCGUCUCUGAAGAUUCUAUGCCUAGCGCCGGACUCUGGGUUCGUCUCCUUCCUCUGUCCAUUUUUUGCAUUUUUCUGUCUUACAUUUCUCUCCUUCCCCUCUUUCCUUUUAUAGCCCUUAAAGGCUUAUCUAGUGACGCGCCACUCGCGCUCAUUAAACCUGGGGGCUUCUUUAACAGAAGCUUAUUUAUACGGGCUUCACGCCCAACACAUGCGUCAAACAUCCGCAUGUACCUUUUUCUUCACCAUUAUAUGCAUCGGUAUGACUUAAGUUUUGGCCAAGCUGGGUUGCCUGGCUCCUGUGCUUACCCCUACGUUCCCGAUUGUUCGGCUAGGUGGUAAAGGGAGCACCUCUACGAUUGUUACUGUCGGGUCAGCCGGAUGUGUACCUCAGACUGGGUGAAGCCGAAAGCUAGCGUUCUUAAGGGAAUAUUCGGUCGGUGAGAUAAAAGAUGAUCUUUUUACUCAUUUUAUGCGCCCCCAGAUGCUUUUUCUGCAUCUUUUUACGCAGUCCGGACAUGCACUUUAGGGCAUGCCUCCCAGCGAAAGGAACCCCUAACGGAACUAUUCUCUCUGGAAGAUGUUUCUUACUAACCAUGUAAUAUAACAUAACUAGUUGGGCACUUGUCUGAUAAAGCACUAAUGACCCCUAUGCCUGGUCUCCACGCAUACCACGGUUCUUAUAUAACCGCUAUGGUAUUCGGACACACUCCGGACCGUCAGGUCCCGAGGUUGAAGCGAAAAGGUCGGCAACGACAAACGAUCUACAAUCCGGUUAGAAGGCAUUAUACAUGUCAAUUCAAAAUUACAUAGUCAUUCUGACUGAUUGUAUUCCUCUUCUAUACCAUCUAACAGGCUGUCUAAUUUACAGUCCUACUGGGAAUACUUCGCGGCCAACUCUACUUGGCCGUAUACUUAGCUCACAGGGAUCUCCUUCCCGUCAGGCCCCACUGGUCCGACCUCGGCCAUGUGGUUCGGGUCAGACUUCGUAAAACGGGUCUUCACCAUGGCCCAGGCUUCCCUAGUGCCUUGUCAGCAGGCCGAUAUCUUCCACAACCGGAAGCGCCGCCGAGCUCCCUUCAGCUUCUCCGCAAGCUCUCCAAGGCCCUCGGGCACGGAGUGGGCAGGCCAUAAGGCUUGGGCAACACCUCGCAUCGCCUGCCGAAUUCGCUCGUGCAGUUGCGUGAGUUCGGGAAGAAGGUCACCCAUAGAAGCGGGCAUCUCCUCUUCAGGACGACCUGUGAGCAUACCUACAGACAUUACUCUGUUAGUCGACUUCCUCGCCGAACUCUUUUUUCAAAGUUCGUUCAAGCACUUACUAAAAAUGCCGCGUCGAAGCCGCUGAUUCUCCUUCGUGGAGUCCGACAGCUGGCCACGAACAUCUUUAAGUUCGACGUCCAGCUUGGUGUUGGCAUCCUGAAGAUCAUUCUUCUCUCGCCUCACCCUUGUCAACAUACUCUCACCAGCCUUUAGCUGGCGUAAGAGUUGUUGCUUGUCCGGAUCGAGUCCGGCGCCAUCUGCAAUACGAUUUGUCAGAUUUGCACCCACACCGCGCAAUACUAAUCUUUCAAAGUGUAUCUUACCUGAGGGGGUCUCUUUGGGCUCCCCUGCUGCGGUUAGUGUGGCCUCUAGUUGGGCCUUACACUUUUCCAGCUCCUGAGACAAUACAAUAUUCUUCUCUGUAAGAACCUGCAUAUUAAAUGAUCCUUAAAUCAGUUACUCUAACUGUUUCAAGUCUCGGGGGCUACUGGUAUAUAUAUAUAUAUUUGACCAAAAUUUUCUUACCCGUAUGUCUUUUACAUACUGCUCCGUGGCUCUGGCUAAACCAUUUUGAGCGGCACGGAGGUACGCAUCUCCCGAAUUAAAGGCAUCUAAAGCCUCUUGGGAGAAACAAGCGUCGCGUAGAACUGUCCGGCGACGCCUGUGGUUCAUGGCACUCUCCACUUUAGAAUUUGUGGCAGACAGCCUGUCCUCAUCCUCUGUCGGAGGAGCGUUCGGUACGCGCCUUGUGCUCGCCUCCGCUUCCUGGCCAGCCGUUGGAGCCUAACUGGUGGAGGCGCGAUUGGCAACCUCUCCGGAUGUAGUCCGGCGAGGUCUCUUCGCUCUGAAGAUAGCACGAACGUUAAUAUGCCCUGACAGAAUAACACCAGGGAAACAGAGGGUGCGCUAUACCUUUGCGCCGGCAUCUCAGUCUGGACUUCAUUCCUUUUUGCCCCACGGGGCCCUGCGGCCCCUCGUUGGCUAGCCGCCGCAGGUUCAGCCUCCUGCCUCGGAAAACUCCCCUGCAAAACACGGUUGUCGUCAGAAACACCGGAAUACGCGAGAGUGCAAUCUCUCUCAAGGGAAUGAAACUCCGGUUUCUGUCACCUGGGAGGCCGGAAUUAACCCUGGGUAAUCAGCCAUGAUGGCUACCAAAGUAUUGUCCUUGCUUAGCUGAUGGAACACCCCGUCGAUAAGAUCCACCGAUAUGUCCGGAUCCUCUUCGGAGUCCGGAUUGAGGGACCGUUCUGGGUCCUCGGGCUGUGGAGGGCGGCUGCUUAUGUCCUUUACCUCUUGUCGCAGUUGCUGCAUUGAAGUCGUUAGACUACCUAUCUGACCAUGGGAGUAUAAAACAAACGGGCAAGUGCAAUUGUUCACUUACCCAACUUGGAGGAUCGUACAUACUGAAUCCGGCCUGCGGAUUGACGCGGAGGAAUUCCUCCUUUUCUCCCUUAUACAAAGAGGAUAAGAUCUUUAUUAAGGCGACGGCUGAGUCCGGCCCCUUACGAUCGUAAUGUGUGACGUCAUCCUCCCCGUUGAAAUCCCACAUGGGGUGGCCUCUAUAUUGAAGCGGCUGCACCCCCCGCAUAAUGCAUGCGGCCAUGACUCCAAUCAUGGUUAGUCCGGAAUGAGCCAACAGUCUUAUCCGGCCCAUCAGGUAAAGGACGUCUCUGUCACUUUCUCUUUGAGAGCUCCACGGACGCCAGCUCAAGCGUUUCUUCAAUGGAGCACUGUUGAACUCAGGGAGACCGACCCGGAUAGGGUCCGGUAGCGGGACGUCAUCUAUGUAAAACCAUUCCGAAGGCCAGUCCUCGGACGCCUUCUUUGGGGUUCCGGAUAGGUAUCCGGUCCCGGUGAUGCGCCAUACUUCGGCUGCGCCCACUUGAUAUAUAGACCACUUUUCAGAACGGGGCACCAGGCAGAAUAACCUCUUCCAUAGCGCGAAAUGAGACUCAACGCCUAAAAAUAGCUCGCAGAGGGCGACGAAACCCGCAAUGUGCAAUACGGAGGCGGGCGUGAGAUUGUGCAGCUGGAGGCCGUAGAACUCCAGAAGCCCGCAGAGAAAUGGGUGAAUUGGAAAUCCUAGUCCCCUUAUUAGGUAGGGGACGAGGCACACCCGCUCCCCUUUAGAAGGAUUGGGGGUGUUCUCCACUUGUUUUCCGCCAUUAUAGGUGGCGAGACCGGCUCGGACCGGGACCAUGCAUGCCUGAGGGAGGAAUCCCUGGGCCUGAAGUGACGCUAACUUGCUAUGCGGGAUGGUGCAACUCUCCCAGUCCCCGGGUUUGGGACCGGAGGGGUGAGGGGAGGAGCUGCGACGGCUGGUCAUGUUGGAAUGGACCAUUGCUGGAAGCGCUCUGAUGAUAACUCGCGGAAAGGAGAAGAUGUGGUUUGGACCUAAAUCCCCAUCCCGUUAAAUAGGCGGCUCGUUUAUACGGCUAGGGGUGUGGAUGUAAAAACGCCCCAGCUUUUUGCAUUUGUUUGAACACGUGGAAGACGGCCAUUAUUUGGCAUGGAAGCCGAGGAGGACUACAUUACAAAAAUCGGACAUUAUUCCUACAGGUACACAAGAUUUGGAGAGGAACCCGCCUUGCAAUGCCGAACAAUCUGCGCGCCGGACUCAUCAUCAUUGAAGCCUGUUUCGGGGGCUACUGAGGGAGUCCUGGAUUAGGGGGUGUUCGGGUAACCGGACUAUACCUUCGGCCGGACUCCUGGACUAUGAAGAUACAAGAUUGAAGACUUCGUCCCGUGUCCGGAUGGGACUUUCCUUGGCGUGGAAGGCAAGCUUGGCGAUGCGGAUAUUCAAGAUCUCCCACCAUUGUAACCGACUAUGUGUAACCCUAACCCUAUCCGGUGUCUAUAUAAACUGGAGGGUUGUAGUCCAUAGGCAAUCAACUCCAUACACAACAAUCAUACCAUAGGCUAGCUUCUAGGGUUUAGCCUCCUUGAUCUCGUGGUAGAUCUACUCUUGUACCACCUAUAUCAUCAAUAUUAAUUAAGCAGGAGUAGGGUAUUACCUCCAUCGAGAGGGCCCGAACCUGGGUAAAACAAAGUGUUCCCUGCCUCCUGUUACCAUCCGGCCUAGAUGCACAGUUCGGGACCCCCUACCCAAGAUCCGCCGGUUUUGACACCGACACACAUCAUCCCGUGAUCAACUCCUUGGUCACAUUGUGCACAUUAUGAUGAUGUCCUACCGAGUGGGCCCAAAGAUACCUCUCUGUUUACACGGAGUGACAAAUCCUAGUCUCGAUUCGUGCCAACCCAACAGACACUUUCGGAGAUACCCGUAGUGCACCUUUAUAGCCAUCCAGUUACGUUGUGACGUUUGGUGCACCCAAAGCAUCCCUACGGUAUCCGGGAGUUGCACAAUCUCAUGGUCUAAGGAAAUGAUACUUGACAUUAGAAAAGCUUUAGCAGACGAACUAUACGAUCUUGUGCUAGGCUUAGGAUUGGGUCUUGUCCAUCACAUCAUUCUCGUAAUGAUGUGAUCUCGUUAUCAAUGACAUCCAAUGUCCAUGGUUAGGAAACCAUGACCAUCUAUAGAUCAACAAGCUAGUCAACUAGAGGCUUACUAGGGACAUGUUGUGGUCUAUGUAUUCACACAUUUAUUACGGUUUCCGGUUAAUACAAUUAUAGCAUGAACAAUAGACAAUUAUCAUGAACAAGGAAAUACAAUGAUAACCAUUUUAUUAUUGCCUCUAGGGCAUAUUUCCAACAUGCCAAACUCUCCGGCUUGGCAGUUUCAUCAUGACCGCCCGUCCGGCCGCUGCACCGACGAUGACCUCUCGGGUCAUCAAAAACAACCUCCACAUCGGCUCGGAAUUCGCCGAGUAGAUGGAUCCAAUGGAGCUCUCUUCCCUAAACGAGCUCUUGGAUAGUAUCACCGCCUUGGGAGUCGCUACAGACUAUGAUCGGAUUGGGCUUAAACCCGAUCAAAGGGAGAUUAACUCUCCACCGGUCACCCAUCAUAUUGCGGUAGUGGAGGAACAAUGCGGCGAUUCUUCCUCUAUUUUGAGGACUAACUAUGUCCGGAUUCCUGAGCUCUCUGAGCCAGAUACCCGCUUACGGGAGGACAUCACCCAAGCCCUGAACCUAGAAUCAGGCAGCGGGCCAGACUUAUCGGGCAACACUCCGAAACCCGAACUUCCAAGAUUGGAAACUCCUCGGCCCCUGGGUCUCAGAUCGGGUAGGGGUUCGGACUCAAAUCCACCCACCCACCCAGACAUAAACGAUCUUUCCCACAUCAGGCAAGAGCCCCAUGAAAUAGUACAUCAUUAUUGGGCCAAAUUCCUCCUUGUGAUGAACAAGGUUAAGGACUGUCGCGAGGAAGACGCAGUCUCAUUUUUCUGCAAUAAUUGCACGGACAAGGGAAUCCUUAACGCCUUAAGUCGCCGUGACAUAUCAUGCUUCGCUGACUUGGCAUCCAUAGUACGAAAGUACUAUGCGAUGGGAAGCACCUGGAAAACCGAAACGAAAUUUUGGGAUAAUCCUGCUCAAAAUAUACAUCCAGUCCGAAGUAAAAGGGUGCACUAUCAUAAGACACCCGAGUUAGUUACAAAGAAACAAAAAUCCUCUAUAGGGCAUGGAACCGUAUUGGAGGGAUGGCUUAACGGACCCUGCAAAAUUCAUAGUACAGCGAAUACCAUACCAACACACAACCUUAGAGCAUAUUGGAUACUCCGGCAGGUGGCCAAAAGUGGUGAGGAUCUUCUCAUCCCAAAUGCCACAGAGCACCAUCCCGUGGAUCACAAUACGGUAUUAACAGUCUUUGAGAUCUUCGCAUCAAAUAAUAGGCGCAAGCGAACGCUCCGCAGCCUCGCCGAAAUCUGCCACGUGGCAGCAAUGAAUCCAUGGAGCGACACGGCUAUUACCUUCAAUGCCAGUGACGAACCUAAAUUCCGAACAGCCAGAGCACCAGCUCCACUGGUCCUCAGUACAAUUGUGGAUGACUUUCGACUCACCAAAGUACUCAUGGACGGCGGCAGUGGAUUAAACCUCAUCUAGGAGGAAACUCUUCAAAAAAUGGAAAUAGACUGGAACCGCAUUGAACAAAGUAGCACAACCUUCAGAGGAAUCAUCCCCAGUCGGGAAGCACGUUGUGCUGGGAAAAUCACAUCCCCAGUCGGGAAGCAUGCUGUGCUGGGAAAAUCACAGUAGAUGUGGUAUUCAGCACACCGGAGAACUAUACGUCCAAAGAAAUUAUAUUCCAAGUGGCCCCAUUCAGUAGUGGAUACCACGCCCUUUUAGGACGGGAGGCGUUCACAAUCUUCCAAGCCAUACCCCAUUAUGGGUACAUGAAGCUCAAAAUGACCGGGCCCAACGGAAUCAUCACUCUCGCUAGCGAUCCGGACACAACACUCUGCGCCGAAAACAAAACAGCUGCAUUGGCCCUCGAGGCAUUAUCCGAAGCCCUUUCGGCCGAGGAAUUAACUGCGCUACGCUCCAAAGUGGACAGGGACAACGUGAUACUUGAUAAGAGAUCCAAGUCCACCUCUUUUAAACCAGCGGAUGAAAUAGUCAAAUUCCAAGCCCACCCAACGGACCCUACAAAAACAGCCUCCAUCGUGGACGCCGCACUACGAGAGUUCCUGCGUGAGAAUUGGGACAUAUUCGCCUGGCACCCCUCAGACAUGCCAGGAAUCCCACGCAGGCUGGCCGAGCACAGCCUCAAUAUCCUAAAGGGAUUCAAGCCGGUCAAGCAGGCUCUUCGGCGUUUCUCUGAACCUAAGAGACAUGCUAUGGGAGAGGAACUAGCCAAGUUAUUGGAGGCCGGAUUCAUUAGAGAAAUAAAACACCUGAACUGGCUAGCAAACCUGGUGAUGGUACCAAAGAAGGACAAAUCCUGGCGCCUAUGUGUCGAUUUCAAGGACCUCAACAAGGCUUGCCCAAAGGAUCCCUUCCCCCUCCCCCGUAUUGAUCAAAUUAUCGAUGCUACCACAGGACACGAGUCAUUGUGUUUCCUCGACGCAUACUCUGGCUACCACCAAAUCAAGAUGGCGGAGUCCAACCAAGCUGUAACGACAUUUAUCACACCAUACAGCCCCUUCUGUUUCAACACAAUGCCUUUCGGGCUCAAAAAUGCCGGCACAACAUAUCAGCGCAUGAUUCAGACAUGUCUGGGGAAACAGAUCGGCAAAACAGUAGAGGCAUACAUUGAUGAUGUGGUCGUCAAAACCAAACAUGUUCACUCUCUAAUAGACGACUUGAGGCUCACAUUCGACAACCUUCGAACAUACGACAUCAAGCUCAAUCCGGAAAAAUGCGUUUUCGGCGUACCAGCCGGAAAGCUCCUGGGUUUCAUUGUCUCCAGUAGAGGAAUUGAAGCUAAUCAGGACAAAAUCCGAGCUUUGUCACAGUUGGCUACCCCAACAUACCUCAAACAAAUCUAGAAAUUAACUGGAUGUGUGGCGGCUUUAAGCCGCUUUAUCUCCCGCUUAGGAGAAAAGGAAUUACCCCUUUAUCGCCUCCUUCGGUGCACCGAACACUUCGAGUGGACGGACGCUGCCACAGCCGGAUUGGAAGAAAUAAAGGCCAUAUUGGCAACCAAACCAAUCCUGUCCGCGCCAAACAUCGGCGAACCAAUACUGUUGUACAUUGCGGCAACUCAUCAGGUUGUAAGCGCAGUGCUCGUCGUCGAACGAGAAGCGGACGGACAUAAAUUCCCUCUUCAAAAGCCGGUAUAUUAUGUAUCCACUGUCCUCACUCCAUGCAAAUCACAGUACCCACAUUAUCAAAAGAUAGCCUACGCGGUAUUCAUGGCAUCCCGGAAGCUGCGACACUAUGAUAACCCACAAGUAUAGGGGAUCGCAACAGCUUUCGAGGGUAGAGUAUUCAACCCAAAUUUAUUGAUUCGACACAAGGGGAGCCAAAGAAUAUUCUCAAGUAUUAACAGCUGAGUUGUCAAUUCAACCACACCUGGAAACUUAGUAUCUGCAGCAAAGUGUUUAGUAGCAAAGUAAUAUGAUAGUGGUGGUAGCGGCAACAAAAGUAAAGACAGCUAAAGUAAUGUUUUUGGUAUUUUGUAGUGAUUGUAACAGUAGCAGCGGAAAAGUAAAUAAGCAUAAACCAGUAUAUGGAAAACUCGUUGGCACCGGGUCAGUAAUGGAUAAUUAUGCCGGAUGCGGUUCAUCAUGUAACAGUCAUAACAUAGGGUGACACAGAACUAGCUCCAAUUCAUCAAUGUAAUGUAGGCAUGUAUUCCGUAUAUAGUCAUACGUGCUUAUGGAAAAGAACUUGCAUGACAUCUUUUGUCCUACCCUCCCGUGGCAGCAGGGUCCUAUUGGAAACUAAGGGAUAUUAAGGCCUCCUUUUAAUAGAGAACCGGAACAAAGUAUUAGCACAUAGUGAAUACAUGAACUCCUCAAACUAUGGUCAUCACCGGGAGUGGUCCCGAUUAUUGUCACUUCGGGGUUGCCGGAUCAUAACACAUAGUAGGUGACUAAAGACUUGCAAGAUAGGAUCAAGAACUCACAUAUAUUCAUGAAAACAUAAUAGGUUCAGAUCUGAAAUCAUGGCACUCGGGCCCUAGUGACAAGCAUUAAGCAUAGCAAAGCCAUAGCAAUAUCAAUCUCAGAACAUAAUGGAUACUAGGGAUCAAACCCUAACAAAACUAACUCGAUUACAUGAUAAAUCUCAUCCAACCCAUCACCGUCCAGCAAGCCUAUGAUGGAAUUACUCAUGCACGACGGUGAGCAUCAUGAAAUUGGUGAUGGAGGAUGGUUGAUGAUGACGACGGCGACGAAUCCCCCUCUCCGGAGCCUCAAACGGACUCCAAAUCAGCCCUCCCGAGAGGUUUUAGGGCUUGGCCGUGGCUCCGUAUCAUAAAACGCGAUGAUUUAUUCUCUCUUAUUUUUUUCUCCCCGAAAGUAGUUAUAUAGAGUUGGAGUUGGAGUCGGGGGGUCUCCAGGGGGCCCACGAGGUAGGGGGGCGCCCUAGGGGGCCCCCCACCCUCGUGAGAAGGCUAUGGGCCCCCUGGUCUUCAUCUUUGGCAAGGAUUUUUUUAUUAUUUAUUGUAAGAUAUCCCGUGGAGUUUCAGGUCAUUCCAAGAACUUUUGUUUUCUGCACAUAAAACAACAUCAUGGCAAUUCUGCUAAAAACAGCGUCAGUCCGGGUUAGUUCCAUUCAAAUCAUACAAGUUAGAGUCCAAAACAAGGGCAAAAGUGUUUGGAAAAGUAGAUACGAUGGAGACGUAUCAACUCCCCCAAGCUUAAACCCUUACUUGUCCUCAAGCAAUUCAGUUGAAAAACUGAAAGAAAGAAAGAAAAACUUUUACAAACUCUGUUUGCUCUUGUUGUUGUAACUAUGUCAAGCUAUCAUUCAAGUUUUCAGCAUAGAUCAUAACUAACCAUAUUUGCAAUAAUUCUCAGGUCUCAUGAUUACUCAUAUCAAUAGCAUAAUCAACUAGCAAGUCAUAAUAAUAAACCUCGGAUGACAACACUUUCUCAAAACAAUCAUAAUAUGAUAUAACAAGAUGGUAUCUCGCUAGCCCUUUCCGAGACUGCAAAACAUAAAUCCAGAGCACCUUUAAAGAUCAAGGACUGACUAGACAUUGUAAUUCAUGGUAAAAGAGAUCCAAUCAUAGUCACACCCAAUAUAAAUUAACAGUGAUGAAUGCAAAUGACGGUUGUGCUCUCCAGCUAGUGCUUUUUAAUAAGAGGGUGAUGACUCAACAUGAAAGUAAAUGGAUAGGCCCUUCGCAAAGGGAAGCAGGGAUUUGCAGAGGUGCCAGAGCUCGGUUUUGAAAUAGAGAUAAAUUGUAUUUUGAGCGGUAUACUUUCAUUGUCAACGUAGCAACUAAGAGAUGGCGAUAUCUUCCAUGCUAAACACAUUAUAGGCGGUUCCCAACAUAAUGGUAAAGUUUAUACUCCCCCUCCACCAACAAGCAUCAAUCCAUGGCUUGCUCGAAACAACGAGUGCCUCCAACAUACAUCAGGUCCCAGGGGGAGUUUUGUUUGCAAUGAAUUUUGAUUUAGUUUGCAUAAAGCAUGGGAGUGGGCAUCCCGGUGACCAGCCAUUUUCUCAUGAGUGAGGAGCGGAGUCCACUCCUCUUGAGAAUAACCCGCCUAACAUGGAAGAUAAGGACAGCCUUGGUUGAUACAUGAGCUAUUCGAGCAUACAAAACAGAAUGUUUAUUUGAAGGUUUAGAGUUUGGCACAUACAAAUUUACUUGGAACGGCAGGUAGAUACCGCAUAUAGGAAGGUAUGGUGGACUCAUCUGGAAUAACUUUGGGGUUUAAGGGAUUGGAUGCACAAGCAGUAUUCCCGCUUAGUACAAGUGAAGGCUAGCAAAAGACUGGAAAGCAACCAACUAGAGAGCGACAACAGCCAUGUACAUGCAUUAAAAUUAAUAAACAUUGGAUGCAAGCAUGAGUAGGAUAUAAUCCACCAUGAACAUAAAUAUCGUGAAGGCUAUGUUGAUUUUGUUUCAACUACAUGCGUGAACAUGUGCCAAGUCAAGUCACUUAAAUCAUUCAAAGGAGGAUUCCACCCCAUCAUACCACAUCAUAAUCAUCUCAAUAGCAUGUUGGCACACAAGGUAAACCAUUAUAACUCAUAGCUAAUCAAGCAUCGCACAAGCAACUAUGAUCUCUAAUUCUCAUUGCAAACAUGUUUAUUCAUAAUAAGCUGAAUCAAGAACGAGGGACUCAUCAUAUUUACAAAAACAAAAGAGGUCGAGUUCAUACCAGCUUUUCUCAUCUCAGUCAGUCCAUCAUAUAUCAUCAUAAUUGCCUUUCACUUGCACGACCGAACGGUGUGAAUAAUAAUAAGAGUGCACGUGCAUUGGACUAAGCUGGAAUCUGCGAGCAUUCAAUAAACAGGAGAAGACAAGGCAAUAUGGGCUCUAGGUUAAAUCAACAAUAAUGCAUAUAAGGGAAAUAUUUUUUUGGGUUUUCUUUUUAAUUAUUACUACUAUAGCAGAAAAAUAAACUACUACUAAUUUUUUUUGUUUUUUUCUUAAGGUUUAACAAACACACAAGAAGAAAGCAGGAAAAAGAAAAUAAACUAGCAUGGAUAUUACAGUGAAAAAGUAUGAGCACCGACAUCUAGCAAUGAGUGUGUGUGAGCAUAAAUGUAAUGUCGGUGAGAAAUACGUACACCCCAAGCUUAGGCUUUUGGCCUAAGUUGGUCUAUGGCCACGGCUGGCCUGGCGGAUAUCCAUAAUAAUAGUUUUUGGGGUCGUACUGUGAUGAGGAAGAAUAGUUGGGAUCAUACUGUGAUGAAGAAGAAGACUCUGACUGCCACUGGCUGACAGUCAUCUCUGGAUCCCAAGAAUAAACAGAUUGUCGUGAAGGCUCAUCUUGUGGUUCCUGUUCCGGGGCUGGUGCAGGAUUCUUGUAAGUUUGGACGGCAGCCCACGUAACGAGGUAGGGUCCUACAAAAUUAAACAAAGAAGGAGCAGGCGGGAUAAUAGUCUCAGGAUGAUGUUUGUUAAAGAACAAUUGAUAUUUAAGCUCUCCUGCCCUAUUCUUAACAAUAAAAUCAUGUGCCACCAUACUUUUAUGAUCUAGAUAAACACGGGGCAGCACCUUUUCUUCCUUCUCAGCAUGCCUAAUAGGUAUGUUAAAAUGUGUAGCUAGGCGUGUGGCAUAGACGCCUCCAAAGAUGGGACCCUUAGUACGGUUCAUACUUAACCAUCUAGCAAUAAUACCGCCCAUACUAAAAGUGUUAUCACUGUAUAAACUGUGGUGCAGAAUAAUUAUAUCAGGGAUACUAAGGUUUCCACUGUUUCUGUGUACAAUUAAACAACGACUAGCAAAUAAUGCAAAGUAACGUAAAACAGGAAAAUGUAUACUAGUGAUUCGUGCAUCGAAACCUUUCUAGUUUCUCCUACAGUGAUAGUAUCAAUAAACCCAGCCAUGUCAUCAUGAUAUGGUUCUUUUGUCUUGCCCUCAAAAGGGAUUAAACAAAUCCGACAGAAAUCAUAAAGUGACAUCUCCUUAUGCUCAUCAUAUAAAUGAAACUCCACCGUAGGUGGUGAGUUCCUAGAAUGAAAAUGAAAGUUUUGCACAAAAGUAUUUGUGAGUAAGAGAUACUGAUCGCAUUGGUCGUGGAGGAAAGCGGUGAGGCCUGCAUUGUGAGCCAAUUCAUGAAAAUCUUCAUAGAUACCGGCUGCUCUCAAGAAAUCUUCAGAAGGCCAUUCACACGCCCGAAUCUCCUCGGUGCACGGCAAAUUAUACUUAGGCUUCGGUGCCUUUUCCUUCGACCUUUGGCUCGAUGAGCCCCUCAAAAAUCUCCUCAUUAUUUUUCUAAAAUAUUGUGAAAUUUUUAGUAACUUCAAACAAAAGUGAACCAACUUCAAUAAAACUGAUAGCAACUACUCCUACAAGUGCCUAGAGCCUAUAUCAAGCAUUAGAACUACUUGGAACCAUAUAAAUAUGGCAUGCAAGCUCAAGAACAUGGUCACCUAUGCAGCACAAAUUUGCAAAGAAUAAAGCACUAGAACAAAAAUUAAUUGGACCAAUGGAGGAGUCACAUACCAAGGAACAAUCUCCUGAAGCAGUUUUGUGAGAGGUGCUUUGAGCAAGGAGAUCGAAAAUCACAGCAAAAGUGGCUGGAACUCGUGCUUGAGUUGGUUUUUCGGGUUUGUGUGAGAUAGAGGAAGAAGAUGGGUGAUGGGAUAAGUGGAGGAGGGCCACCGUGGGCCCACGAGGUAGGGGGGCGCGCCCUAGGGGGGGCGCCCACCACCCUCGUGGCCAGGUGGCAGCUCCUCCCGCGGUAAUUUUUGCACAGUAAAUCCUCAAAUAUUCCCCAAAAAAUCAUAUUAAAUUGGCAUGUAAUUCUGAGGACUUUUAUUUUCGGGAUAUUUUAUAUUGCACGGAUAAGUCAGGAAAAAGAUAGAAAAUACUAUUUUUACUUUAUUUAAUAUAAAUAACAGAAAGUAAAAGCGGGGUACAGAAGUUUGUGCUUCUAGUUUCAUCCAUCUCAUGCUCAUCAAAAAGAAUCCACUAACAAGGUUGAUCAAGUCUUGUUAACAAACUCAUUCUGAUAAUCAUGUAACCGGAGAAAUUUUGAAUAACACUAAGUUAUCUCAAUGGGGAUAUGCACGUCACCAAUAAUAAGAAUAUCAUAUUUAUUCUUGACAGUAGGAAGAGGAAAUUCAAAACCUCCAAAUAUAAUCGAUGGAAUUUUUCCAAUAGAGUUGAUACUAUGAACUUGAGGUUGUUUCCUCGGAAAGUGUACCGUAUGCUCAUUACCAUUAAUAUGAAAAGUGACAUUGCCUUUGUUGCAAUCAAUAACAGCCCCUGCAGUAUUAAGAAAAGGUCUUCCAAGAAUAAUAGACAUACUAUCAUCCUCGGGAAUAUCAAGUAUAACAAAGUCCGUUAAAAUAGUAACGCUUGCAACCACAACAGGCACAUCCUCACAGAUACCGACAGGUAUAGCAGUUGAUUUAUCAGCCAUUUGCAAAGAUAUUUCAGUAGGUGUCAGCUUAUCCAAGUCAAGUCUACGAUAUAAAGAGAGAGGCAUAACACUAACACCGGCUCCAAGAUCACAUAAAGCAGUUUUAAUAUAAUUUCUUUUAAUGGAGCAAGGUAUAGUAGGUACUCUGGGGUCUCCAAGUUUCUUUGGUAUUCCACCCUUAAAAGUAUAAUUAGCAAGCAUGGUGGAAAUUUCAGCUUCCGGUAUCUUUCUUUUAUUAGUAAUGAUAUCCUUCAUAUAUUCAGCAUAAGGAUUUGUUUUGAGCACAUCAGUUAAUCUCAUACGCAAAAAGAUAGGCCUGAUCAUUUCAGCAAAACGCUCAAAUCCUCAAAAUCCUUUUUCUUGGAUGGUUUCGGAGGAAAAGGCAUGGGUUUCUGAACCCAAGGUUCCCUUUCUUUACCAUGUUUCCUAGCAACAAAGUCUCUUUUAUCAUAACAUUGAUUCUUUGAUUGUGGGUAAUCAAGAUCAACAACAGGUUCAAUUUCUACAUCAUUAUUAUUACUAGGGUGAGCAUCAUCAUGAACAUCAUCAUUAAUAUUUUACUAGGUUCAUGUUCAUUACCAGAUUGUGUUUCAGCAUCGGACAUAGAAAUAUCAUUUGGAUUAUCAGGUGGUUCAGCAAUAGGUUCACUAGAAGUUUGCACAGUUCUAUAAAUUUUCUUCUUCUUUUUAGAAGAACUAGGAACAUCAAUAUUAUUUCUUUGAGAAUUUUGCUCGAUUCUCUUAGGGUGGCCUUCAGGAUACAAAGGUUCCUGAGUCAUUCUACCAGUUCUAGUAGCCACUCUAACAACAUAAUCAUUUUUCUUACUAUUCAUUUCAUCAAGCACUUCUUUUUUAGCCUUAAGUACUUGGUCUACUUGAGUGGUAACCAUAGAAGCAUGUUUGCUAACAAGUUUAAGUUCACCUUUAAUAUCAGCCAUAUAAUCACCCAAGCGUCUAAUCAUAUAAGCAUUUUCUUUUAAUUAUCUACCAAAACAAGCAUUGAAGUCGUCUUGCUUAAACAUAAAGUUAUCAAACUCAUCCAAGCACUGACUAGCAAUUUUAGUAGGAGGGACUUCAGCUUUAUCAUAUCUAUAGAGAGAAUUUACCUUUACUACAUGUGUCGGGAUAUUGGGAUCAAGAUGUUCUUCAGUAAAUAAAGAAUUAAGAUCAUAUGUUUCUUCAAUAGGCGGUGAAUUAAAACCAUGUAUUUCUUCAAUAGGAGGUAAAUUCUUAACGUCUUCAGCUUUAAUACCUUUUUCUUUCAUAGAUUUCUUUGCCUCUUACAUGUCUUCGGGACUGAGAAAUAGAACACCUCUCUUCUUCGGAGUUGGUUUAGGAAUUGGUUCAGUAAUUGGAGCAGGAGUUGGCUCGGGAGGUGCCCAAUUAUUUUCAUUUGUCAACAUAUUAUUCAAUAGGAUUUCAGCUUCAUCCAGUGUUCUUUCACUGAAAAGAGAACCAGCACAACUAUCCAGGUAAUCUCUGGAAGCAUCAGUUAGUCUUAUAAAAGAUAUCAAGUAUUUCAGGUUUCUUAAGAGGAUGAUCAGGCAAAGCAUUAAGUAACUUGAGAAGCCUCCCCCAAGGUUGUGGGAGACUCUCUUCUUUAAUUUGCACAAAGUUGUAUAUUUCCCUCAAAGCAGCUUGUUUCUUAUGAGCAGGGAAAUAUUUAGCAGAGAAGUAAUAAAUCAUAUCCUGGGGACUACGCACACAACCAGGAUCAAGAGAAUUAAACCAUAUCUUAGCAUCACCCUUUAAUGAGAACGGAAAUAUUUUGAGUAUAUAAAAGUAACGUGAUCUCUCAUCAUUAGUGAACAGGGCAGCUAUAUCAUUUAACUUAGUAAGAUGUGCCACAACAAUUUCAGAGUCAUAGCCAUAAAACAGAUCAGAUUCAAUCAAAGUAAUUAUAUCAGGAUCAACAGAGAAUUCCUAAUCCUUAUCAGGUACACAUAUAGGUGAAGUAAGAAAAGCAGGGUCAGGUUUCAUUUUAUCUCUAAGUGAUUCUUUGUUCCAUUUAAUUAAUAACCUCUUAAGCUCAUAUCUAUCUCUGCAAGCUAAAAUAGCGGCAGAAGAUUCCAUAUCAAAAAGAUAGCCCUCAGGAAUAACAGGCAUAUUUUCAUCAUCACUAUCAUCAUCGUAUUCAGAUUCAAUAAUUUCUUUUUCUCUAGCCCUAGCAAUUUGUUCAUCAAGAAAUUCACUAAGGGGCACAGUAGUAUCAGGCAUAGAAGCAGUUUCAUCAUAAGUAUCAUGCAUAGUAGAAGUGGCAUCAUCAAUAACAUGCGACAUAUCAGAACGAAUAGCAGAAGCAGGUGUAGGUGUCGCUAACUUACUCAUAAUAGAAGGUGAAUCAAGUGCAGAGCUAGAUGGCAGUUCCUUACCUCCCCUCGUAGUUGAGGGAUAGAUCUUGGUUUUUGGAUCUCUCAAGUUCUUCAUAGUGAUAAGCAGAUAUAAAUCCCAAGUGACUCAAAGAAUAGAGCUAUGUUCCCCGGCAACGGCGCCAGAAAUUUGUCUUGAUAACCCACAAGUAUAGGGGAUCGCAACAGCUUUCGAGGGUAGAGUAUUCAACCCAAAUUUAUUAAUUCGACACAAGGGGAGCCAAAGAAUAUUCUCAAGUAUUAGCAGCUAAGUUGUUAAUUCAACCACACCUGGAAACUUAGUAUCUGCAGCAAAGUGUUUAGUAGCAAAGUAAUAUGAUAGUGGUGGUAGCGGCAACAAAAGUAAAGACAGCAAAAGUAAUGUUUUUGGUAUUUUGUAGUGAUUGUAAUAGUAGCAGCGGAAAAGUAAAUAAGCGUAAACCAGUAUAUGGAAAACUCGUAGGCACCAGAUCAGUAAUGGAUAAUUAUGCCGGAUGCGGUUCAUCAUGUAACAGUCAUAACAUAGGGUGACACAGAACUAGCUCCAAUUCAUCAAUGUAAUGUAGGCAUGUAUUCCGUAUAUAGUCAUACGUGCUUAUGGAAAAGAACUUGCAUGAAAUCUUUUGUCCUACCCUCCCGUGGCAGCGGGGUCCUAUUGGAAACUAAGGGAUAGUAAGGCCUCCUUUUAAUAGAGAACCGGCACAAAUCAUUAACACAUAGUGAAUACAUGAACUCCUCAAACUAUGGUCAUCACCGGGAGUGGUCCCGAUUAUUGUUACUUCGGGGUUGCCAGAUCAUAACACAUAGUAGGUGACUAUAGACUUGCAAGAUAGGAUCAAGAACUCACAUAUAUUCAUGAAAACAUAAUAGGUUCAGAUCUGAAAUCAUGGCACUCGGGCCCUAGUGACAAGCAUUAAGCAUAGCAAAGUCAUAGCAACAUCAAUCUCAGAACAUAAUGGAUACUAGGGAUCAAACCCUAACAAAACUAACUCGAUUACAUGAUAAAUCUCAUCCAACCCAUCACCGUCCAGCAAGCCUAUGAUGGAAUUACUCACGCAUGGCGGUGAGCAUCAUGAAAUUGGUGAUGGAGGAUGGUUGAUGAUGAUGACAGCGACGAAUCCCCCUCUCCGGAGCCCCGAACGGACUCCAGAUCAGCCCUCCCGAGAGGUUUUAGGGCUUGGCGGCGGCUCCGUAUCGUAAAACGCGAUGAUUUCUUCUCUCUGGUUUUUUUUCUCUCUGAAAGCAAAUAUAUAGAGUUGGAUUUGGCAUCGGAGGGCAUCCAGGGGGCCCACGAGGUAGGGGGCGCGCCCUAGGGGGGCGCCCCCCACCCUCGUGAGAAGGGUGUGGGCCCCCUGGUCUUCAUCUUUGGUGAGGAUUUUUUAUUAUUUUUCUAAUAUGUUCCGUGGAGUUUCAGGUCAUUCCGAGAAUAUUUGUUUUCUGGACAUAAAACAACACCAUGGCAAUUCUGCUGAAAACAGCGUCAGUCCGGGUUAGUUCCAUUCAAAUCAUACAAGUUAGAGUCCAAAACACGGGCAAAAGUGUUUGGAAAAGUAGAUACGACGGAGACGUAUCACACUACUUUCAAGAGUUCUCGAUUACAGUAGCCUCGGAAGUGCCACUUAAUGAUAUUAUAAACAACCACGACGCCACGGGCCGGAUUGCCAAAUGGGCCAUUGAGUUCCUCCCGUUCGACAUAACAGACAAAUCUCGGUGAGCCAUUAAAUCGCAAGUAUUGGCCGACUUUGUCGCCGAAUGGACGGAAGCCGAACUCCCUAAAGAGUACGGCGCAUACUCCAAUUGGAUCAUGCACUUCGAUGGCUCCAAAAUGCUGGCUAGUCUGGGGGCUGGCGUCGUCCUGACGUCCCCAACUGGAGAUACAGUGCAAUACGUACUGCAGAUACUGUAUACAGACUCCAACAACACAGCCGAAUACGAAGCCCUAUUACAUGGUCUUCGGAUGGCUGUUUCCAUGGGCAUUCAACGCCUAGAGGUGCGUGGGGAUUCGAACCUCGCAAUAUCCCAAAUAAAUGGAGACUUCGAUGCCAAAGAUCCGAAGAUGGCGGCCUAUCAAAACGCUGUCCUAAAGAUGUCAGCUCGGUUCGAGGGGCUCGAAUUUCACCAUGUGGCCCGGGAAAACAAUCAGGCGGCGGAUAUCCUCGCCCGCAUCAGCGCAAAACGCGAUGCGGUCCCCCCCAACAUAUUUUCAGAGAGGUUGUUUAAGCCAUCCGUGGCAUGGGAAGGGGACACCGGUAAUAAUAGUCCGGACUCGGCCAAAAUGCUCGAUGCCGAACACUCUGACAUAAUCGGAGGCUCUGCCACCGAAAUAACACCUUAAGCCCACGUCAUAAUGGCCAUCAUUGCCCCGUGGACAGAACCAUUCUUGGCCUACCUAACUAGGCAGGAACUUCCCGCGGGCCAAAAUGAGGCACGCUGCAUAGUGCGGCGAUCUAAAGCCUACAGGGUCCACGAGGGAGAGUUGUAUAAAAAAAGCACUACCGGAGUCCUUCAAAGGUGCAUCUCCGAAGAGGAAGGGCGGAAGCUUUUGGCAGAAAUUCACGCCGGACUUGGCGGCCACCACGCCGCAGCCCGGGCCCUUGUAAGCAAGGCCUUCCGUAUAGGGUUUUAUUGGCCGACGGCCCGGGCAGACGCACAGGACUUGGUCCAACACUGCGCCGGUUGCCAGCUUUUUGCAAACCAAAGCCAUAUGCCACCCACCGCCCUCCAAACAAUCCCCAUUACCUGGCCCUUCACGGUCUGGGGGCUUGACAUGGUUGGACCCCUUAAAGGAGGAACCCAUAAGAAAAAAUACUUACUGGUCAUGGUGGAUAAAUUCACCAAAUGGAUAGAAGCCAAACUUGUUAAAACAGCCGAAUCUGGACCGGUGAUAGACUUCAUAUCUAGGGCCGUACACCGUUAUGGCGUCCCCCACAGCAUCAUCACUGACAACGGCACGAACUUCACGGCCGAUGAGGUAAAAAUCUGGUGCAGCAACAUGGGCAUCAAGCUCGAUUAUGCUUCCGUCUAUCACCCACAUACCAACGGCCAAGUUGAGCAAGCAAAUGGUCUUAUCAUGAGCGGCAUUAAACCCAGAUUAGUGCGGUCCUUAAAGGAGUCUAACACGCACUGGGUAGAGGAGCUCGACUCCGUACUCUGCGGGCUGCGGACCACACCGAAUCGUACUACCGGAUAUACACCCUUCUUUAUGGUGUACGGCGCAGAGGUAGUUCUGCCAUGCGACAUAAUUCAUGACUCACCUCGAGUGCGCAUGUACGAAGAAAGAGAAGCCGAGCUCGACCAGCAGGACAGUCUGGACACCCUGGAGGAGGAGCGCGACGUGGCAAAAUCCUGUUCCGCAUUUUAUCAGCAACAGGCUCGCAGAUACCAAAGCAGAGAAGUACGGGCCAAAACUUAUAAUGUUGGCGAGUUAGUUCUACGUCUGCCGGAGAAGAAAAAGUCCAAGCUCGAGCCCAAAUGGGAAGGUCCCUUCAUUAUUGACCAAGUUCUGACCGGUGGAGCGUACCGUCUGCGGGAUGCAUCGAAUAAUCGACUUGAGCCGAACCCAUGGAACGCAGCCAGGCUCCGAAGAUUCUAUGCCUAGCGCCGGACUCUAUGUUCGUCUCCUUCCUCUGUCCAUUUUUUGCAUAUACAUUAUCUGUACUUUUCUCUUUCUUUCUUUUAUUCUUUCUCUAGGCCUUCAAGGGCCAACUUGUGCCUCGCCUGCACAUUAUAGAUGCGCUAACCGCGCGCAUUCUACCUGGGGGCUUCUUACACAGAAGCUUAAUUAUCUAUCUGGGCUUCAUGCCCAGCACAUAUGUUAUUCUUCUGCAUGUACCUUUUCUUCGCCAUUAUAUGCAUCGAUAUGACUUAAGUUUUGGCCAAGCUGGGUUGCCUGACUCUUGUAUUUAUGCCCUACGUUCCCGUUAAUUCGGCUAGGGCAUAAGGGGAGCACCUCUGCGAUUGUUACUGUCGGGUCAGCCGGAUGUGUACCUCGGACUGGGUGAAGCCGAAAGCUAGCAUUCUUAAGGGAAUAUUCAGUCGGUGAACAAAAGAUGAUUUUUAUUUAUUUUCCAUAUGUGCCCCCAGAUGUUUUUUGCCUGCGUUUCCUCUCGCAGUCCGGACAUGCACUUUAGGGCAUGCGUACCCAGGAAAAGAAACCCUUAACGGAACUAUUCUCCCUGGAAGAUGUUUCUUACUACCCAUGUAAUAUAACAUAACUAGUUGGGCACUUGUCUGUUCAAGCACUAAUGACCCCUACGCCUGGUAUCCACGCAUACCCCGGUUCUUAUAUAAAUGAGCGGGUAUUCGGAUACACUCUGGACUAUCGGGUCCCGAGGUUGAAGCGAAAAGGUCCGUCAUGACAAAUGAUUUACAAUCCGGCUAGAAGGCAUUAUACAUGUCACUUUAAUUACAUAGUCAUGCAGAUUGACUAAAUUCCUCUUCUAUACCAUCCAACAGGCGAUCUAGCCUACAAUCCUGUUGGGAAUACUUUGCGGCUAAUUCUACUUGCCCAUAGACUAAGCUAACGGGGAUCUCUUUCCCAUCGGGCCCCAUAGGUCCGACCUCGGCCAUGUGAUUUGGGUCAGCCUUGGUAUACCGCGUCUUCACCAUGGCCCAGGCUUCCCUGUCACCUUGACGGCAUGCAAAUAUCUUCCAUAAUCGGAAGCGUCGCUGUGCUCCCUUGAGCUUCUCCGCAAGCUCUCCAACACCUUCUGGCAGGGAUACUGAUGGCCACAAGGCCUGGGCAAUACCUUGCAUCACCUGCCGAACUUGUUCGUGCAGUUGUGAGAGCUCGGAUAGAAGAUCACCCGCAGACCCGGGCAUCUCCUCCGCGGGACGACCCGUCAGCAUACCUACAGACAUAACUCUGUUAGCCAGCUUCUCCGCCGUCCCAUUUUUUAAGGGUUCGUUCAAGCACUUACUGAAUAUGCCGCGUCGAAGCCGCUUAUUCUCCUUCUCGGAGUCCGCAAGCUGGGCUCGAACAUCUUUCAGUUCCACGCUCAUCUUGGUAUUGGCGUCUUGGAGAUUUUUUUUCUCCCGCCUGACCUCAGUCAGCACGCGUUCGCCAGCCUUUAGCUGUCAUACGGCAUGCUAGUCCUCCGGAUUCUCUCCGGAUUCAUCUGCAACAUCUAUUGUUAGAUCUGCAGCCAUGCCGCACGCUAUAUGGUACCUAUCAUUCUUUGAAAGAAAUGUUACCAUCUGGGGACUUUUUAGGUUCCUUCAAUGCGGCAACAGCGGCCCGAAGUUGGGUCUUGCAUUCCUCCAGCUCCUGUGACAGUCUAGUAUUCUUCUCUGUAAGAACCUGCACAAUAAGAUGGUCCUUAAAUCAGUUCUGCUAACUGUUUCAAGUCUCAGGGGCUACUGAUACAUAUAAUAGUCAGAUUUGCUUACCCGUACAUCCUUUACAUACUGGUCUGUGGCUCUGGCUAGACCAUUUUGAGCAGCACGGAGGUACGCCUCUCCAGAAUUGAAGGCAUCAAAUGCCUCUGGUGAGAAGCAAGUGUCACGGAGUACGGCCCGGCGAUGCCUAUGAUUCAUGGCGCUCUCCACUUCUGAAUUUGUAGCGGAUAGCCUAUCCGCACCCUCUGUAGGGGGAGUAUCCGGCGUCUGCCCCAUGUCGGCUUCCGCCUCUAUGUCCGGUCCUGGAGCCCGACUGGUGGAAGCGUGAUCGGCAGCCUCACUGGACAUAUUCCGGCAAGCAUUUUUUCUGUUAAAGAAACAUGGACUUCAUUACAUUUCAAGAAAGACGACAACCACGGAGCGGGGUUCCUGUCAUACCUCUGCGCCAACUCUCCAUCCUGACCGCUUUCCUUUUUGGCCUGCCCGGCCUCAGUGCCUCUUGUUGGCGAGUUGCUGCGGGUUCGGCAUGGCGUCCCGAAUGCCUUCCCUGUAAAACACCAUAUGUAUAUGGUAGGUGAAGUGUCUAAAAGGGGAUCCUAGUUUUUGGAGUUGGGAUUUUUGGUUUUUCUUACGUGCGACGCAGGAAGCAGUCCGGGAUAGUCGGCCGUAAUGGCCACCAUGGCGUCAUCACAGUUAAUUGAUAGAACUGCUGGUCUAUCAUCUCCACGAAUAUGUUCGGAUCUUCUUCGAGUCCGGGAUCGAGGGCCCGGUCAGGGUCCUUUGGUUGUGGAGAUGGGCUGCUGACCUCCCUUAUGACUUUUUGCAGUUCCUGCCGCAAAAUGGCAAGGUGAGUAUCUACGACAAAGAAUGCGGGAAGAAUGGGAGUAAGGAGAUAUAACUCACCCAGCUUAGAGGGUUUUACAUGGAGAAUCCAUCCCAUGGCUUGAUGCGGAUAAACUCCUCUUCCUCUCCCUUGAACAAUUCGGACAUAAUUUUUGCUAAAGUGGCAGCGUUGUCCGGACCCUUACGCCCGCAACGGGUGGCGUCAUCUUCCCCGUUAAAACACCACAGGGGGUGCCCUCGAUAUUGAAGUGGUUGCACUCCCCGCAUUAUGCAUAUUGACAUAACCUCAAUUACUGUCAAUCCUGAUUGAGCCAGCGCUUUAAUCCGGUUCAUCAGGUAAAGGACUUCUCCAUUGUCUUCCUCAUGGGGGCUCCGUGGGCGCCAACUUCGGCGUUUCUUCAGAGGAGCAUUGCUGAACUCAGGAAGACCCCGCCAAACAGGGUCCGGAAGGGGGACGUCCUCCAUAUAAAACCAUUCCGAAGGCCAGUCUUUGGACGUCUUCUUCGAAGUACCGGACAGGUAUCCGGUUUCGGCGAUGCGCCAUAUUUCGGCUCCGCCCACUUGAUAAAGUGACCCCUUCUGUGCGCGAGGGACGAGGCAAAAUAACCCUUUCCACAGCUCGAAAUGAGCCUCGCAGCCCAGGAAUAACUCGUAAAGGGCAACAUAGCCGGCGAUGUGUAAUAUGGAAGCAGGGGUGAAAUUAUGUAGUUGGAGGCCGUAAAACUCCAGGAGCCCGCGGAGGAACGGAUGAAUUGGAAAUAUGAGUCCCCUUAAUAAAUAAGGAACAAGGCAUACCCGCUCCCCCGUAGAGGGGCUGGGGAAGCUCUCCGCUUGUUCCUGCCAUUGUAGGUGGCGAGCCCGGCUCGGACGGGAACCAUAUACGCUGGAGGGAGAAAUCCCUUAGUCUGCAGUUCAACUAAUCGACUGUAUGGGACUGAACACCUCUCCCAAUCACCGGGCUUAGGGAUAUGGGGGCGGGAGGAGGAGCUGCGGAGGUCGGCCAUGCUGCAGUGGAUCUUUCUGAAGCGCGCUCCGAUGGAUUCUCGCUGGGGGAGGAUGGUAUGGAUUGGAUCUAAGAAUCCCCAUCCCUUUAAUAGACAAUUUAUUUGUCUGGCUAGGGGGGCGAAUGUAAAAACGCCCUGGCGCCUCGUAUUCAUUCGACGUGUGGAAGAUAGCCCUUAUUGGGCGCAGAAGCCAAGAGGUCCAACAUUUAUGGGACCAGACACUGCUUAACAAACAUUCGAAAUUUGGAGAAGAACCCACCUUGCAAUGCCGAAGACAACACUGCGCGCCGGACUCAUCGUCAUUGAAGCCUGGUACGGGGGCUACUGAGGGAGUCCUAGAUUAGGGGGUAUCCGGACAUCCGGAUUAUAUCCUUUGGCCGAACUGUUGGACUACGAAGAUACAAGAUUGAAGACUUCGUCCCAUGUCCGGAUGGGACUCUACUUGGCGUGGAAGGCAAGCUAGGCAAUACGGAUAUGUAUAUCUCCUCCUUUGUAACCGACCUUGUGUAACCCUAGCCCCCGUCGGUGUCUAUAUAAACCAGAGGGUUUUAGUCCGUAGGACAACAUACAAUCAUACCAUACGCUAGCUUCUAGGGUUUAGCCUCUCCAAUCUCGUGGUAGAUCAACUCUUGUACUACUCAUAUUAUCAAGAAUAAAUCAAGCAGGACAUAGGGUUUUACUUCCAUCAAGAGGGACAAAACCUGGGAAAAACAUCAUGUCCCCUGCCUCCUCUUACCAUCCGCCUUAGACGCACAGUUCGGGACCCCCUACCCGAGAUCCGCCGGUUUUGACACCGACAACCACGAUCAGCCGGGCGACCUUGGUGAAAUCGGUCCUUACUUGACAAGUCAUUUACCACAUCCCCCCUUUAUGCCCCCAGGUGUGAUGUGGAACAUCAACAAGAUUUAGUGUGCAUUUCUUUGGUCCGCUAGCGAUAAAACUGCAGGAGAAAAAUGCAAGAUCAACUGGGAGAGAGUCUGCCGUCCUAACCAUCUAGGUGGGCUUGGGAUCCUUCACUUGGGAAAAUUUGUGAGAGCUUUCGGACUUAGAUGGCCCUGGGUGGCAUGGAAGGAUCCAAGUAAGUUGUGGGUCAGGUUGGGGAAACCGUGCACCGAGGUGGAUAUGAACCUAUUUUAUGCUUACACCUAAUUACCUUUGGAAAUGGUGGGAAGAUGCCUUUUGGGAUACGUCGUGGUUGCAAGGGAAAAGGCCAAAGGAUAUCACCAUCCCUCUUAUUUGCGGCCUCCAAGUGCAAGAAUUGGUUCGUGAGGGAUGCCUUGCGGGACAAUGUUUGGGUGCACAAGAUCAACCCAGUCAUAUUGCUGAGUUUGUGGACCUCUGGGUGUGUAUCGAGCACAUGCAAUUAGAAAUGGACGUUGAUGAUGACAUCUCUUGGAAAUUUGUGGUGUAUGGACAGUUAUCAGUGGCUUCUACUUAUUGGUCCCAAUUAUUCGUACCCCCGUCGACCACCAUGAACAAGACCAUUUGGAAGGUCUCGGCACCUCCCAAGGUCAAGUUCUUCUCUUGGUUAGUUCUUCAAAAUAGAUUAUGGGUAGUGGAUAGAUUGAAGAAGAGGGUUUGGGAAAAUCGUGGCCUCUGUACCUUUGCAGGAGGGCUAACGAGACAUCUGCCCACCUCUUCUUUAAAUGUCGGUUUACACCGUGCAUUUGGAGAAUGGUCGAGAACUGGCUUGGAUUAGGGGCUCUGGAGAUAAAUAGUUGGCUAGCGGAACACAAUGUCAAGUGUUGGUGGACAAGCAUGUCAAAACCGAAUACGACGAACUGGAUCAUGGCCUCAGUCACAGUGUUUGUCUAUUGGGUUAUCUGGAACAAGAGAAAUGCUAGAGUCUUCAGGAAGAAAUCGCCGUCGCCCUAUUACAUACUAAAACUCAUCCAAGAGAAGGAAAAAUCGUGGAUCAUCGUAGGGCUAGGCAUUUGAGCAUAAUCAUGCUGCGAGAGUAAUUCAUGUGUGUCUGUUUUCUUCGACGGUCUAUGUUGUGAAGUCGGCUUUAUGUAUUCUAAGCUCUCCUUCUUAAAUAAUGAAUGAGUAAGUCUUUUUCCCCUGCUUCAAUUUUUUAUACAAAACAGAAGAUUUGGCAAGGCUCGACAUUCUCAAUCUGCUCUUGCCAUUGCCAAGCAUUAUGAACAUGAACAAAGUUACUGUUAUGAACAAGUUCUUUUAGGAAAUGUCAUCAUGUACUGGCUUACUUUAUUGAUCAAAUAAGCACACUUACAUCAUUCACCAGAGAUACAUGAACAAUAGAAGGAGGUUCAUCUACCCAAUUACAAAAUAAAUGAUUAUCAUAACUAUGAUUAGCAAUCUCGUGUGCAACGCCAUUGGCCUCCCGAAAAACAGUGAGAAAAGUGAACUGAACCUAUUUCCACAACCAAAUUGACACAAUCCGCGAAUACUGCCGCUCCUUCAUUCCACCACGUGUUACCACCUCUGCAAGCUUCAAUGACCCCCAAGCAAUCAGAUUACUCAACAAUUUGAUGGUAGCCUAGAAAUUCCACUGGUGCUAACCCUUCUCUCAUCGCCACAUAUUCCAUCAUCAAGGCUAACGAAGCAUGAGAAACAAAAGAGCAAGAGCCAUCCAGAAAGUUUCCAAACCUGCCUAUUAGAAUUGCCCUGUCGCCACAUCUCCAUCUUCUCUAUGAUAGGAGGCAUCGACAUUGAGUCUAACAUGGCCUGCUUCUGGCUUAACCCAUUUCACAAUUAAUUUCUCUACCAUUCGACCUCUGGGUUUCCUUCAUGAAGUUAGAACAAAGAGAUAAACUACAAGUUUCUAGCUUGCUGCCGGUGAAGUUCUGUCAUUACGCGAGACCGUUCUUCUAAUCCACCAGAGGUACCAUGCUGCCACGACGACAACCUCUAUGACUCCAACAUACGGUGAUUCAAGUAAUGGACCCGAAGAUGAGUCCGGGAGCUCUUCCAAGAUUGAUGAUCCUGCUCUGUCAACGGUGGAAGCAUCCGUUGUCAACUGCUCUAACUGUAGCGUCUCCCACAUCUCCUGUGCUGGUUUAUAGCCGAAUAAGAGAUGUUUUAGAUACUCUUGAUAUGUGCGACAUACAGGACACAAGCUAUCAGUCCCAAUGUCGAUUCACCAAGGUUGAUUUAACGGGAAUGGCUCCGUGCAACACUUUCCAUAGAAAAUGUUUUCACCUCUCCAGGAACUGGAAGUGACCAAACUUUCUUCCAUAUUGGGUUAGUACCUGUUAGAGAUACAACGGGAAAAUCAAACGACGAAGAACGAAAUCAACACAGGAGACACGAGAUUUUAACGUGGAAAACCCCUCAAACUCGAGAGAAAAAAACAUGGGCGCCAACCAACAUAAGUUCACUAUAUUGUGGGAGGUCCGGCCCAAGCCUACCGGCGACGGGCCUCGCUCCGCUCGCUCGUCAAAACUUAGUUUUUGUCUUUAUACUUGAAUUUGGGUCACAAUAUAAAAACUCCACCUUGAGACAAAUUCCAUCUUGUAGCAUGAAUGAGAACCUCCUCUCUGAACAACGAAGAAAACACUUCGGCGCCAAACAACCACUAGGGCUAAUGUAUUAUACCAACUAAGUCUGAGGAAAACUCAAACUUAGCAACAUGAACUAGCUUUGUCAACAUAUCAGCAGUAUUAUCAUGAGUACUAAUAUUUAUAUCUCCAUUCCACAUGAUAUGUUGAUUUUACCGAGAAAAUCCCAUUGUGGUUAUAAUGCCAAGCAACAAAAUCAUCAAGCCCAUUCGGACUCAAAGGAAUACUCAGUAUUCUGGAAGCAUCUAUAGGUGUAAAGACAGACCAAAUCAAUUCUUCAUCCUAUUGUCCCGAAGAUGGGACAAUCAAGUGAGACACCUUAUUUAUUAGAAUAUUACCUCUUUGCGUAAUUACCUUCCUGUCCAGAAUUCUGGUAAUAGAUGGAUCUUUCCAAAUGUUAUUUGACUCUCCAAAUACAACUUCUUUUAAAAGUUUGGAUGCCCGCAAAAAUACGUUGCCACGUGAAAGAAGACCCUUUUUCCAGUCCAGCUUCAAGAAUGCUCUGAUUUUGAUAGUGUUUAGCUUUUAUAUUGUAGCACAUAAGAAAUUAGGAUUGCAUAACAUUAUCCAAGCUUGCUUGGCCAACAUAGCUAAACCGAACGAGUGCAAGUCACAGAAUCGCAACGCUCCAAGACUCUUUGGAAACAAAAUUUUCAUCAUGCAAACCAGUGCAUUUUACUACUAUUUCCAUCAUCUCCCCACCAGAAAUUGGCAAUUACAUAAGCCAUGUUUUUUGCAGAUACCUUUUGGUAAUUUAAAUACUUUUAAAAAAACUUGGUCAUUUAAAUAUUGACAUUGCAUAAAUCGGAAUGGCUCGGGCAAUUGCUUUGAGCAAAGUUUCUUUUCCAGCAACUGAUAAGCACUACUCUUUCCAAGCAUUAAUCCUCUUCAUAAUUUUAUGAACAAGUUCGUUGAAAGUUGAAACUUGGCAAGCAGGACAAAAAGUAGGUUAUAUGCCGGCCAUGAAUUAUAUUUCUCAAAAAUCUACAAUAAGCCAGAAGACAAGUUGACCAAUCCCAACCGAUCCUUACCGCCCAAGCCGUUGGAUACAACACGAAAAGAAUAUCAAAAGCAAGCUAACCGUCACUGCAGGAGCAUUGGCUCCAAAACUCCAAUGCAUGCAGCCAUGCACAGAGACUUCUCCUCACCUCACCUCACCUGUGACCUGUCCCCACCCUUGCUCGCCACCUCACAUCCUCCCCGUCCCUACCACCUUCGUCUACCUUUCGUCAUCCGCGCCCAGCUCCCCGCUUAUAUAUACCGCCUCGCUCGCCGCACCACAAUCCACCGCAGUCCUCAUAUCACAUCUCACAGCCAGCUCAAAGCGCCGUGAACCACCACGCCUCGAAUCGAACCCAGACAGUCUCCCUCCCAGGCAAAAUGUGUAACUCCAACGUCAAGUCCGCCGGCGUCGCCCAGAUCGACGGCCGCCCGGUCCUGCAGCCGGGCGGCAACCGCGUCGCGGCGCCGGAAGGCGCCAAGCCGCUCAAGAAGUCCCUGCAGAAGUCGCUCUCGAUGCCUGCUGCGUACGACAAUGCCGCUGCCGCCGCCGCCAUCACCUGCACGGCAGCGCCCAAGAACACCGGCGCGGCGGCCGCGACGCCUUACCUACUGCCGCCUACUUCGGCAAAGGCGGCGGGAGCCAAGGCGGCGGGCGCCAGGGCGGCGGCGUCCACGGGCGCGGACAAGAACAGGAAGCAGGCGGGCAAGAAGAGCGGCGCCGUGCUGCCGGUGGUGACGUUCGCGGCGCUGGAGGCGUUCGAGCUGGCCGGCCCCGCCGGGAGCAUCGCGGCGGCGCAGCGGGAGCACGUGACGCAGGCGCAGGCGCAGCGCAAGAUGCGGAUCGCGCACUACGGCCGCACCGCCUCCUUCUCCCGGGUGGAGGGCAAGGUCGGGGCCACCGCCACCGCCACCGCGACAGCGCCCGCCACGCCCGCCGCUGCACCGGAGGAGAAGCGCUGCAGCUUCAUCACGGCGUACUCGGACCCCGUGUACGUCGCGUACCACGACGAGGAGUGGGGCGUGCCGGUGCACGAGGACGAGUGAGUGGCCGCCAUUUCCGCCCAACCACAGCACUACAUCACAUCACAUCAAAACCGGCCGAUCUUGGCAGCGAUGGUUUCUCACAUUUUCUUUUCUUGGCCGGUCGACAGGCUGCUGUUCGAGAUGCUGACGCUGUCCGGCGUGCAGGUCGGGGCCGACUGGGCUUCCAUCCUCAGGAGGAGACACAUCUACAGGUUGGUUUGGAGCAUGCAGAGCGAUCGCCCAUGCUGUUUUGUUUUGCUUGCAUUUGCCGCGAUGUCUGUGCUGAUUUUGCGCCUGUGCCUGGUGACGAAUAGGGAGGCAUUCUCCGGGUUCGACGUGGACGCGGUCGCCAAGUACACGGAGAAGCAGAUGGCCUCCGUGAGCGCCGGGUACGGGCUGGACUUGGGCACCAUCCGAGGCGCCGUCAACAACGCCUGCCGCAUGCUCGAGGUACCUACCGUCCGCCGCGCCCAUUUGCCAUAUCUUAGAUUUUUUCUGUUUGUGUUACUGCUCCCGAUUGACAGUAGAGUUGACAAGGCAGUAGUAUCACCAAUACUGCUAAACAUACAAAGAGUUACACGCAAUUACACGCUUACACGCUCACUAGGAUUUUUUCCAUCUACUAACCAAUCAUAAAUUUGCCCCCCUGAUUUUCAGAGGGACACUUCCCCAUCUAUUGACCAAUCAAAUUAACUCUUUUUGUAAAACCUUGUAAAUCGUUUGUACGUGUAGCAUUACUCGUAAUAUCACAGUUUAAGUGAAAGCGAAGCUUAGCAGAAUCCCUGACAGCUUACACCCUAGUGGUGGACAGCUCUUGUAUGGGCAGCAAGUGCUAUUUAAAUGGCACUAUACUUUGCAUAAGCAAGGCAAGUGCGUCUCAUAAAGCUCGAUGCGAUGCAACCAAAAAGAGGGAUGCAACAUUUGAUAGCUGGAAGGAAAAGACGCUCAUGCAACAGUCCACAAAAUAUUCUCCUCCGUGGUUGAGAAGAGUAGUGUGAGUGUUCCACACGACGUAACCGCUCGCAAUUAUGUUAGGCGCCUAACCACCAAUCAACCACCACAGCCCUCACUAAUAAGUACUACGCAUGUAGGUAGAUGACGCCACCUGUUUUGUCAGAAGCACACCGACCACGGAGUAUUUUUAACCUGUAUAAUACUUGUACGUACAAACUAAUACAUUCUACGUACAACCUGUUAAUUAAAUAGAGUAGUAUCUUAAUUAAGCCUCAUUAGGUUUAGAAGAAGAAGGAAGAAAAUCUAAGGAUGUUUUGGCGUGCAGGUGAGGAGGGACUUCGGGUCGUUUGGCAAGUACGUGUGGGGGUUCGUGAACCAGAAGGCGCUGUCGCCGGGGUACAAAUACAGCCGGAAGAUCCCGGUGAAGACGUCCAAGUCGGAGUCCAUCAGCAAGGACAUGGUCCGGCGGGGCUUCCGGUUCGUCGGCCCCACCGUGCUCCACUCCUUCAUGCAGGCCGUCGGGCUCACCAACGACCACCUCGUCUCCUGCCCGCGCCACCGCGUCUGCUCCUCUUCUUCCUCCACCUCCUCCGUCUAAGCCGACGGCCGGCCAUGCACCGGCCGCCGCACAAAAAGAGAAGAAAAAAAAAGAAGAUCUCGAAGAGACAGAUGACACGAGAUAGCCUCACCUCAGCCCUCAACUCAUGGGAGUAGUAGUAUACGAAAUGGGAGUGUGUGUGUGUGUAUGUGUGUGUGCUCGGUCGGCACGCGUAGAUUAACUGCGUGCCGCCCCUAAUUAGCUUGCUUGGUAAUCGCUGCCAGUUCAGUCGGUACGUGCGUGCAUGUAAUCGGGUGCUGCUGCCGCUGCUUGGUGUAUAGUCAUUUUGUGUGAUUGAUCUGCAUAGUCCUUGCCUUGUGUGCGAUGCAAGGUGGGUGCGUGCGUGCAUGUGGUGUGCUAGCAGCUUUGCAAUGGCUGCUGCACGCAUAUGAUUCUCUUCCCUUUGUUCUCCCACGAUAAGGAUAGUGAUGUAGCGAGGGCGGGCGG
rnacentral:lncRNA from 1 species